rnacentral:lncRNA from 1 species
CUUUAUGCAUAAAAAAUAAAAAAAAUAAAAAAAAACUUCCCCCAAAGUCAUUUGUUCCAAAAUCAAAAGGAACAAAAGGGUUUUCUCCCUUUUUCCUCUGCUAGGGCAAAAAUGGAUCAGCCCCUGCUGCUAACCCGGCACAAUCACUAAUAACGGCGGCCGGAGGAGCAACAACAAGGUACCUUCGACCCUUUUCGCUUUUUUAAAUUUUUUUAUUUAAAAAAAACACUUCAAACACUAUGUCCAUUUUAAAAACUCAAAAUAAAAUCCAUGAAAAGAGAAUCUGAAUAGAAGCAAAAGAAAUCUAAAAAGAUAAGCGCAACCUUUGCUUUUUGAUUUCUCUGAAUUCUUUUCUGUACAUUUGUUGAUUUUUUGUAUUUAGAUCUGUAUUCUAUUUUCCUAAAAAAUAAAAAAAGAGCCCCCUUUACAUUUGAUUCUAUUCGGCUUUAUAGCCGAAAAAUAAAAAUAAAAGAGAAAGAAAGAAAAAAAAAUAGAAAUUUCCUUGCUGUAAUUUGCUGUUUAUUGUGCUUUCUGUUGCUCAUUAAUCUUUGCUGUUAUUCACUGUAAAUCUAUUAUUCAAUCUUCUAGCGGGUUCGGCCUUGUAUGGAGAUUGUAGACGUGGCCAUGACGAGGCUGUGCGUGGGAAACUACUCGUGAAGGCCCGAUUCCUUAGCUAGCUGCAGUGCUAGCAUGUUUCAGAAACCUCUAGGAUUUCUUGUACUCUCGGAUUGUUGGGCCCUUUUGGCUUUGGGCUAUGAUUGGGCCAAAUUAGGUUUAUUUUAGAUGGGUUAAAAGUUUGGGAUAAAUUUGGAUUUGUGUUAGGUUUAAUGUUUGGGUUUAGUUUGGUUUAGGCCUGGAAAUUUGUAAAUGGACAUUGGACCCAUAAAUAAUUUAGUUUAUUAUUUAUUUCUGUUUGAUUUUGUUAUUACUUUUUUUUUUUGUUUUUGUAUGGUUGUGGUAUGGUAUGGGCCCGGGCAGAUUGGGCCUCUUACAAUAUAUAUAUUAAAAUUUACCAAUAUUUAAUAAUAAAUAUUUUAUAGUAUGAAAUAUGAAUAUUUUAGUAAUAUAAAUAAGGAUAUUUGGCAAGCAAGUUUCGAGACAAUCUUAUUUUAAGCCUUGAGACAUGAAAACAUCAAAACUAAUUAAGUUUUACACUAUUCGAAGUCUCGAGACAAGAAUCGCUUGUCUUGAGAAAUUUGAACAUUGAAGCUAAAAUAGGAAAAUAAUGAAGGUUUGUCUUGAGACUUGGUCUCGAGACAUAAGAAGAGAUCAUGCCUUGAGACACAAUUUCUAAUGUAUCGAGGCAAUUUAACUUCAAAAGCAAAAACACCUAAAUUAAAAUGAGGCUUGUCUCAAGGCAAGAAGUCCUUUAUCUCAAGAGAUAUCAUUGAAAUUUGAUAGUUGAGUUUGAAUUUAAGUCCUAACUCUAAAUUUGAACUUGUAUAACCUCGUAACAUGAUGAAUUGAAUUCCUAAACACUAUGAAUGGAUAUGUGUGUGUAUGAUUGUGAUCAAAUUGGUUUGAAUGAUAAUUAUGAUUUAAAUUUUAUGAUUAUGUAAUGAGAUAGCUUGAGUUGCUUCGACAACGUAAUAUGAUAUCAUACAUUCAAAUUUGACGACUGGGUGGAAUAUGGGUGUUAUAGUUUUCAAUGUUUUUAUAAGUAUUUUCAAUGUUUGUAGUGCAUUUAAUUUCAAAAAAAAAUUGUAUACUAUUUGCAGGUAAUAUAGAUUUGGGACGAAGAUGUCAGUAUAUGAAACCAUGAGAUUAAAUGCACUCAUACUAAAGUUGUAACCUCCCCACCCCGGCCUAGAUGUUAGGCCCGAAUUCGGGAGAUUACAUCAGCCACUAAGGUGGCCUAAUAGCGAUCAGGGUUUAUAAAAUAGACUAUUUAAAACAUUUGUUUAUUUUAGAAGAAAACUUAGUCUAUUUUUAAAUAAUCCAUGAGUUAAAAAAAACAAUUAGUUUAACAUCUUUCUUGUAAAGAAUGAUUAUUAUUGAAAAACUUAGCUAAUUUCUAGUUUAUUUAUUAGACAAAAUUUAUUUAAAAUCUUGCAGCAAAAAAGUGAUUUUUAACUUAGUUUUAAUAAAAUCUAUAUUUCAUGCAUUAGAUUAUAAUCCAUCAUUCAACAUUUAAAAAAACAAUUCAAAAGACAUGCUUGCUAAUUAAAACCAACUUAAGUCCUAUGCCACAAUUCAAAAUAAAACGAUAUAUUCCCCAAAUAAUAAAAAUAUCAAAUAGUAAUUUUAAAAUAUUCUUAUGGUAGAACAGCCAACUCGAGUUGAGCCCUCCGUAUGCCGAGUCCACAUCCUAACCUGGUGGGUUAUUUGUAAAAAUGGAAAUAAAAAGGGGAGUAAGCUAUGAAGCUCAAUGUGAGUUCUAUCACAAGAAAACCAGUACAAACAAUAGACAAAACAUAUAAAAUAUCAAUUUCAAAGGAUAAACACAACUUGAAUAGCAACUCAAAAUUUCAAUAUUUCAAUAUUUCAGAUUAACUCAUUAACAUAAUAUCUCGGUAAUCACAACAAUGCAAAUGCGUAUUAAUGCAAUGCAAUUUCAAUUUAUCAAAAAAGAUUCCUACUUCAUCUCUACACACCAUAGUAGGAGUUCUCCAAAACUCCUUUACCUUUACACCAUGUUGUGGAUAAAACCACACAUCAUUGUGGACAAACCACUCAUUGUGGAUAAACCACUAGUGAUAGAAAUGGUGGAUGAAUUACCAGGUUUUUUGUUAAAAAGUUUUUACAGACAAGCUGCUAGAAGGUUGUGGAUGCACAACAUGUUUGCAUAUUGAAGUCACUAAUACAAUGUGGUUAAACCACUCAAACAAUGCAGAUAAAAGUUGCUCAAAAGGUGUGGAUAAACCACUAAACAGUGCAAAUACAUUGCUUAACUUCCUUCGUUAACAUCAUUCUACCCCAUACAAUGCAAUAUGACAUGCUUAAAAUGGAUUAAUACAGUAGCAUUAAAUAUGUUUUUAACAAAACAUUACGGUAGCAAUCAUUAUACUUAUAAUAGUUUGAUUCAGUGGCAAUUAUUAUGCCUAUAACAUAUUGAUUCAAUAGCAAAAGAUAGGCUUAUCAUGUAUUCGGUUUAACGGUAACAUAAGGAAAGUUGUACGUACAAUCACAAGUACAAAUUCAAUAGAUAUAUAUAUCAUUGUCAAUUCAUGCAAUUAUAUAUAACAUUAAUUCAACCAAUCAGAUCAUAGAUUCUAACAUUAUUCAUCUUAUCAAGGACUUGAUUGAAAAAUAAAACACUAAAAAUAGUUUGGGAACCAUUCACAGACUAAACUAAACAAAUCAUAAAAUUCCAGGUAAAACUGUAAAAUAGGGGCUCAUAGCCGUGUUGUUAGGCCAUGUGCAAUGCCUUAAGUUAUGUGGAAGGUUACCCGAUCGUGUGCAGGGCUUUGGGCCGUGUGCGAUUUGAAAUUCCUAGGGUUUCAGGGGGAACGUAGACUUGUGGCUGCCCGUGUGACCCUAUUCUGAUGCACAGUUGGCUUCGAUUUGCUUGUAAAAGAACACACACCUUUCACUGGAAUUUUGAGCGACGUCCCUCAUGUGCAAAUAUGAUCCAAGAUACCUAAAACAGGUCAUUCAAAUGACAUUUAUACACGAGUUAACUUUUGUUUUCAAGAAUUAAUCACGAUUAAUGGAGGAUUUCAAGAAGAAUUGUAAAAGAUCUAAAUCGAAUUGAAAUAUUAUAGUGGAUUGAUACUAUUUCAAAAUUUACGAGUUCUACUAAUUGAAACGGAUAAACUUAUCGAAUUUUUGAUGAAUGUACGAAGACUACAGACAAUGAGUUUGACAACCGGUAGGAAAAUGUUUUAAUCGAGAUUGCUUUUGAUCUGGGUAAGCAAAAAAAAUCAGCAACAAAAUAGUGUGAAAUAUGAUGAAAAAGAAAAAUGGGGAGAAAAGAAAAGAUGAAGAUAUAUAUAGAGAAUAUAGGGAGAAAUUCUAAUUAGAAUGAAAGAAAUAAAUUAAAAUCCUGAUGUAAUUAGGACAGCGGACUAAAUAGCUAGGUUUUCAAACUUUUAAAGGGUUGUAGGUAUUUUACCUUUUUUGCCGAAAAUAAAAGAGAAAUAAGAUGAUGUUGCCAUGACUUAAACUUAGGAAUCCAAGAGGGAAAGGAGAAUGCUUAACCAAUUGGGUUGAUACCCAUUCUUAUUUAUUUUUUACUCCAUUUAAUAUUUAUUCUAGUGUGGUUUUUAUCCUAGGUUGCUGAAAUUAAAAAGAAAGUAAAAUAAGAGAUAUGGGGUUUGAACCUAUGAUCUCUAAGGAGUAUACUAGCUACUUAAUCAUCAAGCUUAAGGCUUAUUUCUUGGUUAUUUAUUUCAUCUAACCCCCUAUAUCUUGGGGCAUUACAAAAGUUGAUCUAAGAUGAAGAGUGAUAGUCCAAUGCUUAAAGAUUCAAAAUUUGUAAUGUGAACACAUUUAGUUUUUCAAUCAUAACUGUUUUGGGUGUACUUUUUAUCAUCGAAAAGGGAAUUUGAAACUCUAUCUAAAUAUUAGAACAUCAAUAUCAAAAUACGUUAGGAAGAAAUUCAAAAGUAAAGAGAAAGUUACAAGUUUCACAGUGAUGGACAAUUCUAACAUAUUUUCGUAUUUGGACCAUAUCUCCUAAUAUACUUAGAGUCUGGAGUUGAAAUUUCUACUAGUAAAUGAACAAGAGGAAUAUCAUUUAUCAACUAUUUUAGCCUUUCUCAAUUGGAGAUGUUGUCAUAGUUCAAAGAACUCGUCAAGUUGCAUGUGUACAAUGAUUCCAAAAAAAAAAAAACAAAGAAGUGGCAAUAGCAAUUGGUUACUAUCAAGACUAUUCACUUUCAUUUAGCUCUUCUUAAACCUCUAUAAAUUGCCUUUAGAUUUAUUAUGUUUUAAGUUUUCCAUGUUGAGGUGAAAGAUUGAAAACUUUUGGAAAAUACUAAGGUAAAGUCUAUACUCAUCUUUUGGGGUAAAAUGGAUUAUCAUUCACUUGUUAUAAUCGUACUUGAAAAGAAUGAUUCUUGAUUUAUUAUUGAUAAUAGACAGCACAAUAAAUGUUUGAAUAAAUUAACCUUGAUUUGUUGAAUACAUAUAAAAUAAUUAAACCUUUCUAUAAGUUUUGAAGUUAUAAGUAUAAUACCAUAUGUUACAUAUUAGACGGAACUUAAACUGUUGAACUUUCAUAUUACAUUAUCCUUUGCUUAUUGAUCCAUUUUCUAAACUUUUGAACUUGAAUUUUUGAACAAUCAUAUUUGACACUCCUUUGAUGAACAUACCAUUGUUCAUCGAUUCAUAUGCCAAAUUAUUGAACUUAAAUUGUUGGACUAUAUGACUAGAACCUCCGUUGUUUAUGAAUUCUAACUAAGUAAUAAAAUUGAGUAUUAAAAUUUAAACUUAGUAUAACACUAAAAGUGGAUCCUCUAUCCUCAGCAUCUUUCAUUCUAGGUAUUUAUUUAUUUUAUUUGAUUUAUUUCUCCCAAUUAUUUUUAUUUCUAGUUCUUCCUUCAGCCACCUUCAUUUUCAAUAUUUCCACUCAUUCCAAAACUAGGUGGUAAAUAUUUGUUUUAGAAUAAAAUUUUUAAUCUUUUAAAUUCUAAUCAACUUCACUGUGGAAAAACCUUGGGUUCUCGAGAUUUUAUUACUUGAACAUAAUUUGUACUUGUGUUUGCGAACAAAGAAAGUGUCUGUCACUCCGCUAGUUAGGUACGACUUGUAUGAUUUGCAUUUGAAUCGAUGAGAUAAACAUAUGACAAUGGCGAAUUAGAGAAAUAUAUCGCAUGUACGCAUCCAUACUUAAGGAGUAAAUUAAUUUUUUUGAAUUAUUAUUUAAUUGAUUGUAAUUAAAUAACUAGAUUUUAAAGCAAAAAUUAAAUUAGUCAAGUCAUCAUAGUUUUAUUAAAUAAGAUAACUGAACUAGUUGUCAUGACUUUAAUGGAAUUAGAACCGAGUUGAGAAAAUAAUUUAAUUAGAAAAAGUAAUUAAAUUUAUUUUAUUUAAUUAAAUAAAUAAUAUUUUUGGAAAUAUAAAUUUUUUAUUUGGUUAAUUAAAUUAUAUGAGUUGGUUAAAAGUCCAAACACAUAUAACUGUACCUAAUAUAUGAGACAGGCCUAAUGUACCAUCUUAAAUAACUUGGGCGACAACUAUAGCUCCUAGGGUAAGGGAGUGUCGUUGCAUAGGUGUAUUUUUAUUAAAAUGUUGUUAUUUUAUAUCUUUUUGUUCAAGCAAGACUCUUGUAAUUUUCUCUAUAAAUAGAGACCAUGGGCUAGACCAAAAUAACGAUACUGAGUGUGAUGCUUUGUCAAAAUUUAGUGAAAUUUAUUCUACAAUAAAUUCUAACUUUGAUAGAGUUUGCUAUAUCCCAUUAAGACUUAUUGAUUCCCCCCCAGAAUAUUAAUUAAGUUUUCAUUAUUUUUAUCGGUUCAUGAAGUAAAGCUCAUAAUCUAAGUAAGUCAACGUUCGAGAAUAGAAAAGAAUAUUGUGUUGGUAGAAACCCGAGAAAUGACUUAAACCACUUAUUCCAAAGCACAUAGAAGAAUUUAGUAAAUUAUUUAUUGUUAUAAAUAACACUAUCUAGAGUGACUAAUGGGGUAAUUUACCCUUAAAAGAAAUAUAAAGUACAAAAAAAUGAUAUAAAAUUUGGAACCAAUAAUUUAAUCUAUAAUCAAACUAGACCUGAUCAUGGGCCGGGCGGCCCGGCCCAGCCCGAAGGCCCUCCCGAAAUUUGAGAGGGUUUGGGCAAAAAUAUAAGCCCAAAAAAUGGGCUUGGGCAAAAAAAUAAGGCCCAUUUAAAAAAUAAGCCAGGUCUCGGGUAAGGCAUUUUUUCACCGAGCCCGGCCCGGCCCGGCUCGAUUACACUAAAUUUUUUUUCUUUUUUUAAUAUUAUUUUUUUUGUUGUUUUCUCAUUAUUUUGCUGCCAUUUUACUAUUAUGUUGCUACUAUUUUGUUGUUAUUGUUUAGAUAUUGUAUAAAAUUUAUUUUAUUGCUAAUUUUAUUAUUAUUUUAAAGACAUUUGUUAAUUUUGUUAUUAUUUUAGAGACAUUUGAUUGUUAAGUUGCAUCUAUCUUAGUGUUAUUUAAUUAUAUUUUCAAUUUGUUGGAAAAUAUUUAUUUUGAUAUUUUUAGUAUUUUUGAUGCAUUAUAUAUAUUUUAAAUUAUAUAAAAAAUAAUAUAAAAAUUAAUAUGUGCUGGCCGAGUCGGGCCCGGGUUUUAGUAUUUUUAUUCGGGUCGGGCUUGGGAAAAAUUUUAGGCCCAUUUUUCGGGUUGAGCCGGGCCCGGGCUAGCAAACAGGCCUAAAAUUUUAGUUGAGUCCGGCCCAUGCUCACCUCUAAAUCAAAUUCUAUUUAAUGAAUAAACAAGUAAUUUAAAAAUUCCUAAAACUAAUUAAAUAUUUAAUUUUACAAGUGUUAUAUAAUGGAAACUCUAAUUAAAUAAAUAAGUAAAUAUUUAAUAUCUUGAAUAAACUUGUAAAUAAAAUAAAACUCUAAAAUUUAAGUGUAAAGAAUAACAAUUGAUGGCUAAAGAGACCUCCAAAAUAUGCCAUUCACUAAAGUCCUAUAUCUUGUUGGACUCUUAGUUAAUUCUCCAAAAUUGAUCCAAGGAGUUUUUAGAUCAUGGGUUCUUCAAAAUGGUCAGAAAUGAAUUCUUGAACAAAUGUGUUGGAGCUUUACUUCUAUUAAUAGGACCACUUGAAAGAUUGAUGUUUUUUUAUGUUCUGCUUCUUAAUUCCUUAGAGACAUGGAGUUCAUAUCAUUAUCUAUAUGAUACAUUUUACUUCUUUUUAUUUAAAUACUCCCAUAAUUAACUGAAUUCAUCCUCACGAGCUCAUAGCUCAAAUCACAAUACAAGCUUGUAAUUUGUUUCCACGGUUCUUUCAGAACAAGUUCUCAUUCACAUAUAAUUGGUAUUUAAGUUGUAUAAAACCGAUCUUGCUAAUUCAACCAUAAAAUCCAAUAACAAUGCCAUUAGAGAAGUUUCAUAAAACCAAUUUCCAACAGGUGAGUUGGUGGGUUAGAAGGGGAUUUGAUUUGUCUUCUUUUGCAUCAAUUAUUGCUAAUCUGAUGCUUCUAAUGAGAGGUGCUUCAUAGAUUCUUCUCAUUGUGAAUGGUUGCUUAUCUUUGGUGUGAUUUCGUUAAUGGUGGAACUUGAUGGUUCUGUUAUAGUAAUCAUUUGAGGUGGUUGGAUAUGGAGGUCCGGGAGUGAACGGUGGAGAAAUAUCGUGAUGAUUUCCUUAUUAAUUGGGUUAUGGUACUUAAGGUUUCUUUUAUGUUUUCUCUAUUGGCAUACUAGUUUUGACGUCUCUUCAAACGGUGUAAGCAAACGACAUGACAAAUAUUUGUUCCAAUUGAUAUCAUGAUUGUAGCUACAAAUUCAUGUUGUUCAGAGCUUCGGCUAGGAUGACAUGGAUUAUUAUUUUUUAAGCAGGUUCUAUUGUUUGGUGCAAAUUUAUACGGUAGUGCGUUUGCUCCAUGACGUUUUCUGAGGUUGUGCAUUUCUGCCAUGCGAAUUGUGAUACUGAACUUAUGCAGUGCCUUUUGGGUUCAUUUGGUCCUUGGAGAGUGAUCUUCUAGUGUCUUGUCGUGGAUUUUGGUGAUCCUUUUGUCAAGAGUUUGUUAUUGCAUUGGAUAUAUAUAGAGAGAGAGAAGGUUUGGAGUAUUUUUGCACUUGUGGGUAUGGAGUAAUUAAUCAACAUGACUAUAAGAUUCUUAGGGCACAAUGAGGCAAGAAAUAUCAAAGAAUAAAAAGAAUGAAUGAAUUAAUAAAGAAAGAGAAAUUAUUCUCAUAUCAUGUAAUAAUGAUAUUGCUUCAUACAAUGUAAUUUCAUCGAGACAAUUUUAAUUUGAGGUUGAUUAGAUAUCAUAAAGAUGUGACUUUAUCUUUUCCGUAAAAAUAAAUAAAUAAAGGCAAAAAAUAUUCUUCUUUUAUUUUUCUAUAUAGCAUAAACCAACACAUGGUUUUGUUGAGCAGAAUCUUUGUUCUUCAGUGGCAAAUAAUUGUGUCGAAGCUCUAUAAGAAAAACGAGAUCAAAAUUGCCAAUAGUUGGGGCUAAAUUAAUAUAUUUUUUCCUGGAUGAGGUGCUGCUUAGCUGUGCUAUACCAAACACAUUUGGGAUGAAUUACAGCAUUGUAAUUUAUGCAACCACUUUUAUCAAAGAUUUCACUAAUAACAUUAUGAGUUUGACGAUCUUUUAUAGACUUCCAGAUUUUUGUAUUUGACUUGGUUCAUAACUUUGUUUAGGUUUCUUAAAUAUGGAUUAUAUAAAAUUUGAAAUUUAUUAGUCAUUUGUGCCAUAUAUUAUGAAAAUAUUUUUAUGUCCUCUUCAUGAUGAUCCAACAUCUACUAAGAGACUCACCUAAAAUGGCAUUUGCUUAUACAAAAUUUCAACUUCCGCAUAAAGUGAUUUACUAAAAAUAAAUGGCUCUAAAUGUACCAUUCUACUUUAAUUCAUAUGUUAUUAUUCUUUUAAAAUCAAGGACAAUUGAUUAUUAUAUUAAUUUAAUGGGUAAAUUAUAUAGUUAAUCACUCAACUUUCAUAAGUUUUUAUUUUGGUCACCAAAAGGGGCGAAGUUAGAAAAUAUUUUUAGGGGGGAUUGAAAUUAAAUUGUAAUUUUUAUGAUAGUAAAAAUGUAAUAUCAUCAUUUUAAUAGCAUAUAUCUUUAUAAUUUUUAAAUGAUUAAAUCAAAUUUUUAUUAUUUUUUAGGGGGAUAAAGUGUAAUUUUGACCUUUACUAAUUUAAAAUCUUAAAAUUUUUAGAGGACCUAAAUGGAAAAUUUUUUAUUUUAUUGGGGUCGAGGCCCCUGCCAGCCUCUAGCUAUGGCCUUGGUCACCGAGAAAAUUUGCAUUUAGGCAUUGCCAUUACAAAAUAUUUUUAUUUAAGUCAACCACCUUUAAUUUAAUGUUAUUAUACACUAAUUUUAGUCGCCCAGCUUUAAUACUUUUUCAUUUUGGUCACUCAUUUCCUUUUUCAUAGUUGGGUGACCAAAAAAGAAAUUUACUAAUAAUUGGAUGGCUAGUGGUGUAAUUUAUCAAUCUCAAAAUUUAACAUGAAAUUUUGAUUUAACCUAACUGAGGCAAACUAUUAAUACAAUUAUUGAUAUAACAUCAUUUCAUAUUUAUAUAUGACAUUCAUAAAUAAUUAUAUUUAUCCAAUAUAAAAUUAAGAUGAUAUAUUUAUUUCUUUAAAUGUGUAAAUUAAUUGAAUUAAACUUAAAAUUUCCUAUAAAUUAAUAUGUAUAAUUGUAUCAAAUCAAAAUUUAUAUAUCAAAUUACACGGAUUUUACUCUAAUAAUAAUAACACGAUUAUGAAAAUUGAAGUAGAAAAACCUAAUCAAAUGAGCCGAAUUAUAAAUAAGCCAAAGUAAUAAAAUUUAAAAGCAGAAGUGGAUUGUAGUCGAAUGAAACCUAAAAAUUACUUAAGGAAGCUCACCUUUACGUAGUCAACACGAGAAGAAAAUGGACUGCUAAGUUAACUCCGUAAACUUUGCUCCAUUUACAAACGAAAGAGAUACAGCUUUUUAGAUUUCACUCACGAAACAACUUAAACAAAGUUUUUAACAAUAUUCCUUAGUUGAUAAAAAAUUAUACAUUUUUCUUUUGGGUUUUUUACUCACCCUUUUCUGCAUAACUAUUAACCAACGCCAAAGCAUUGCUCGUAAGCUUCUUCACUUCCACCGCCCUCUCGUACACCUCCGUUUUCAAUGGCCCCUCCUUCACAUCUUCGAACCCGUCUGUACAUGUCUCUUCGUCCGUCAAAGCCGCGCUCAUCCACAUCUGAACGUUCCCCAUUUGGAACCUGAAAGACUCCGAACCCGGGGCUACCAGCCGUCGCAUUUGCCUUAACGAACCAUGGAUUUCAUCCACGGCAUCGUCCAUGUUGGAAAAACAGUCGUGUAAGGCGGCGCUGGCUUGUGGGUCAGCGCCGUAGGCUGUUUCACGGGUGAGGUUAGAGACAUAAGAUGCUAUGUGACGGGCCUUGGAGAGGCUGACACCAAUGGCGAUGCGAGCUAGAGGAGCUGGGUCUUGCUGGACCGGAUUGGCGUAACCAGAUAGGGAAGUGUAGCAAAGGACAGGAUACAAUGUGGCAGAGCAGCUUGUACGGAUGUAAUCGGUGGGGCUGGUGUCGUAGCCGGUGGAACCAAGGGUUGGGAUUGGGUGGAGAAAGAAGAAGAGGAGGGUUAGAAAGUGCAUGGAGAUGGAGGGGAGGGAUUUCAUGGCUAAGGUUUUAACGUUGUGCAGUGAAGAGGGGGAAUUUUUUGGGAAUUCGCGAGGUAGUCGGAAGGCGGUUUGCCUGCUUUAAUAAAUUCGUACCCUCCUGACUACUAUUUUGGUCUUGUUUUAUUUCAGAUUUACAAGAAUGCCAGAUCUUGAUUUGACCGCUGUUAAUAUAUUAUUUUCUCUAAGAGAUGGCAAUGGUAUGUAAUGUUUGUGGGACCUGAAAAUAUGGAUUUCAUUUCAAGCUAUCCAAGCUUUCGGCCAUUAAAAUGGCUCUGCAUCAACAGUUAGUUGGCAAGAAUGCGAUGAUUGCCGUGUUGGAUUCCGAAAAUCCCACCACCUUAACUUGUAACUCUAAUGGCGACGGAAAUGACGGGGUGAAAAAACGAAGACAACAACAGUGUGUUUUAUAAAAAAUUAAAAGAGAUGAUAGUAUUAAUUAUGAUGCGUAGAAAUAAGUUUUUUUUUAAAUAGGAAUUAUAAGAUUAAUCGAGGAAAUCUGGAAAAAUAUAACCUGAUUUAAAAUUAUGUCUUUUUAAAUAUAUAUAUUUUUUAUUUUCAUUUUUCAUUUCAACAUCUUCCUUAUCAAACACGUCAAUGAAAAACAAUAAUAGUCAAAACAAUUUUAUUUUAUUUUAAGCUAACAAAGGGAAAAAUGAUUGCAUAUUACUUUCUAAAUUUUAUUUUAUUUUGCAAAUGUUUUAAUUUAAUUCAAAAUUAAAAUUAACAAUUUCAUAAAUAAAUAUUUUCUAAUAAACCAUUAACAAAAAGUAAAUUUCUUUAAAGUUAUUCUACACAUGGUGGGUUGGUGUUUUCUUUCAGUUUUAAAAAUUAAUAUAUAAACUUUUCAUGAGAGGGCCCACCACAUUAGGACUAAAAGAAUCUACUGCAAUGGUUGGGGCAAUAUGCCCAUUGAGAUCUCUUAGUUUGGCUUAACCAAGCAAUCAUUAAUAAUCUUGUCUGCCUUUUGACACCUAGAGUAUCAAAUUUUCUUUCAACAACACAUUCCUAACAUUCUCUUCAUGCACAUUUAAUGCAUUGUCCAACUCCAACCCAGACUCAAACAACUCGUCGCUUUCCUUCGAGGUCCCUCGAUUCACCACUAAUCAUCUCUAUCUGAUGGUUGCAAUAUCAUCGGAAUCAGAAAUAGCCUCUAUCACCCUAACCAAAUAGCUUCCCCCCCCCCCCCAAAAUUUGCAUUUCAACUCAUCUUCUAACUGAUGAAUCAAAAUUAGCAUCUUCCCGCAGUUGAAAUCCUCAGCCUUCAAAGUAUUGCCACAUUUGAAAACAUGCAGAGGGAGUCAAUAAAAAAUCCAAGUUGCUCCCUUUGCAGUCAAGUAGUCUUUAGACCAUUCAACAAUGGUAACAAACCAGUUCAUGGUCUUCAACAUCCUUCUCUUUUUGUCCUUUGCAAAGAUGAUUAGGAUAUACUUACCAAAUUUUUUUUAGCAUCAAUAUCAAAGACUCCUUCAAUUUUAAAAAUUUCCCUAACAACAUUUGUCUCAUAAAAUCCCCUGCUAUUUCCACAAAGCAUUUUCUAGUUUUUGUAAGGACUCUAGCUCAACAAAAACUUGUAUGAAUCUCGCCUUUUUUUAUUUUUAAAUCUUGUUACAGUUCCAUAAUCUUGGAUAUCAACCAUAGUCGGAUUAGAAACAUUUUUGUGUGAUAUGUCAGACCUCUGUAUUUCACUCCUGUGAGAUCCGAUCGUUGCAAAUGUUGAGAAUGAUUAGAAAUCAAUAGUUAGUAGCCAAUGGAAUUAGCCUUUUGUUUGUCCAGUUUGUUCCUAUAUUUUAACUAGGUGUUGUUAAUAAUAUAUCCACCAUUAUGCAGAUUUUUAGCUCUUUCGGUUUUCCUUUUUUUAGCCACUUGUACAGCUUAUAAAAGGUUGUGUCAAGUUCUUUUUCAUGUAUCAAAAAAUAGUCAACUUCACUUUCUCUUCGCUUCUAGUUUUCAAUCCAAGUUUUAUUUUUAUCUUCUUUUUAGCAUAUUUUAUCUUUGUUUUUAUCAAUAUGUUUUGAUAUCAAAGCUAAGUUUGUUUUAUUAAGUGGGAGAGAGUGAAAUAAAAGAGAAAUUCAAUGUGAGUGGUUCAGGCAAACCUAAUGCUGAUAGUCAGUGGUACUGUAACUUCAUCGCAGCCUUUUAUUCCUUUGUUCAAAAGAGAGAACUUCGAAUUUUGGAGCAUCAAGAUAUAAGGACUUCGUUUAUGUCUCAAGAACUUUGGGAGCUGGUAUAAAGUGAGUAUAAUGACCCCAGAUGAUCAACAAAGACUUCGAAAGAGCAGAAAGAAAUACACACGACCUUUGUUCUUUCUUCAACAAGCAGGUACAAAUGAUAUUUUCUCUCGGAUUUUUACAGCAACUACUUCUCAAGACAUAUGACAGAUCCUCAAAAAAGAGUUUCAAGGUUCAACAAAGGUAAUUACUGUCAAACUUCAAUCCCUUCGUAGAACCUUUAAAAUGUUUCAGAUGGGCAUGUUUAAAUCUAUUCAAACUUUUAUGUAAAGAGUUUCUUCAAUUGUUUGUCAAAAAUUUGUUUGGUAUCAUUAUAGAAGCUUUUGGUAUCCAUUUUAUUCAUCAUUAUGCUUUUCAUGACUUAUUUUGUUGUUAUUAAUUAUAUGAAAAAAGAGAAUGUUUUAAGAAUACCAUAUAGUAAUGGAGAGUACUAAAAAUAGAAAUUGCAUACGACUUUAUUGAAUUAUUCAUAGCAUGCAAUUCUUUGAUUUUAAGAUUAUGCCUCGGUUACAAAAAAUUCUUGAUAAUAAUUGGUGUCUUUGUAUUUUUUUUUUAGCAUGAUUUCUUAGUGAUAUCUUCGUACAAGUAGGACUAAAUUGUAUGAUUUUUUUGAACCUUGUAUUAUGUUAUCUUUAUAAAUGAAUUCUAAAUAUGCUAUUUUUUGUCAAUUCAUCCUUCAAUUGUCAAAAUUUCGAGAAGCAAGUCAAUAGCAAAACUUUGUUUCAAGAACUCCAUGUCUAGAGACAUGGCCUACCAAUAGUCAUAUAAUAACUAUUUUUAGUUAAGGCCUACCAAUAGUCAUAUAAUAACUAUUUUUAGUUAAGCCUCGAGACAUACAUUACAGGAACCGUUUUUAGGCUCGAAUUUAAUACUUUUGAUGGCUAAAAUCUAUCCCUAACGACCAUAAACAUUCACAAACUCAUUCAUUGGAAUAAAUACAAUUCAGAGACAAGUCAAGACAUAAGAGUUGAACACAUCCAAGCAUAAAAGUCAAGAGAAAAGCUUCAAAUUUUUUAUUCUUUCAUUUUCACUCUUACAUAUUUCUUGGAGCUUAUUGUUAAAUAUUUUAUCACUCUCAUUUUUAUUUCUAUGAAAGCUUAUUUUUGUAAACACACACUUUGUAAAGGUCUCUUUGUUUACUUUCUUUCAUAUCAUCAAUUGUAAAUUUGGAAGGUUUUAAUUGAGCCAUAAAAGCUAUGGGGAAAUGUUCUAUCUAUGCCUUAAGAAAAAGAUUGUAACAACCCUAUUUCCGUGAAAUUAGAAUAGUGGUUUCGGGGCCACAAAUCCGAGUCUGAAAGAAAAAUUAUUUUAAUAUUAUUGCAUGGUCUGCAUUAUGGUAGAGAAUUCAUAUGAAAAUUUCGUUAAGAAAAUUUUACCGAUUUCAUGUUUAAUUAGGGGGAAAGGACUAAAUUGCAUAAAAUGUGAAAAUUGAAUUCUAGUAGAUAGAAGGAUCAAAUAGGUAUGGAAUUCAAAAUUUGAGAUCCUUAUAAGGCAAAUAGACCAUUAAGAGAAGUUAGUAGAUAUUUAUGAUGAUUCAUCCAUGGAAAAUUGAAUAAAGAAAAAGACUAAAUUGGAAAAUUGAAAUAACUAAAAAUGAUAGUAAACUAAUAUCAUCUUAUUUCAUCAUCUUCCCCAAAUUAAAAUACAUGGAAACCCUAGCUAAGAGAAAAGAGUUCAAGCAAGCUUAAUUGGCUCAAUUGGGUAAGCAUUCUUGUCUGUUUUUAGUAAUUUAUAUAUUUCCGAGAUCAUAAUAACCUAAUCUAGCUAUUUUGGGGAUUAAUUUGCAAAGUUAUCAAAGUAUCAAAAUUUUUCCAUGGAUGUAUGCUGAAAUUUUAAAAUUUAUGGUAGAAAAUGAAAGGUUGUUGAUAGAUAAAUAACUUUGUAAAAGAAAUUUUCAUGAAAUUGUGAUUUAGGGACUAAAUUGAAAAGAUGUAAAAUUUAUGGAAAAUUUUUGAUCUUUGGAAAAUACAUGGGCUGUAAAUGUUAUAUGAAAACUUUGGCUAGGCUUGGAUUAAGGAUUAAAUUGCAUGAAUUUUAUUUUCUAAGCCUAGGGAUGAAAUCGAAAUUAAUUAAAAGUAUAGGGGCAAAAUGGUACUUUUGCCUAAAAUGUGCUUGAGUUGAAUUAAAUAUGAAUUGUAUUAAAUUGAUUUAAAUUUACUCAUAUAGAUUCGGAUAGACCUAGUACGAAGUUGGAUCGACGAAAACAAAAAGUAUCGGAUUGGUAUAUUCUCGUAUACAAACAAGUGUCGAGGUAAGUUCAUGUAACUAAAUUUUACAUAUUUACAUGUUUGAAUGAAAUGUUGUAUAUGUGAAUGUUGAAUUGUGAAAUUGAUAUGUUUAUGAAAUUAAUCAUAAGUACGAAAAUUCCUAAUGAAUAUGAAAUCCCAUUUGAAUACAUGAAAACUGGUUGGAUACAGGGCUCCCGUAUUUGUUAUGAUCUUACAUAUGUUGUGGGCACACCAUUGCUCAAAAGAGCAUCCCGAUAAUUGGUUCACAUGAGCUUUCAGUUAAAAGGUUCUAGUGAGCUUCCUGUCAUAGCUCUUCGGAACGUAUCGAUAGGUUGUGAUCCUACAUAUGUUUUGGACACACCUUAGCUCUUAUGAGCUUCCCGAUUAUGGCUCUUCAUGAGCUUCUCGUUAAUUUGCUCUUUGUGAGCUUCCCGAUAUGGCUUGAACUUCCCGUUAUUGGCUCGUAUGAGCUUUCCGGCUAUAGCUCUUAUGAGCUUCCUGUUUUAGCCUGCAUAAGCUUCACGUUUAUGUGCUUUUAUAAGCACUCCUGAAUAUUAGUUGACGGAUUUACCGUAUUGUACACUUCAUGUGUAUUGCCCAUGUAUCCAUUGAUAUUUUAAAUGAUUCAACGGGUAAAGUUCUGAUAUGAGAUGAUAUGAAUUUCGAGAUGAAUUACUAUGAGAAAUACUUGAACUAUAAAGAUAUAAUAUGUACAUGAUUAUUGUAUACUUUAUCUAAUAAAUACAUGUAUGUGGAAAUUGAAUAAGGAUGAGCUCAUUCUUGUCUCUUGAGACUUAUGUGAAUUACAUAACUAACACGUUUGAUGAGGAUGUAUGUGUAUUUAGAUAUUGAUUUAAUUGAUUUGGAUGCACUUGUAUGAUUAUUUUAAAAGCAAAUAAAUGGUAAGUUUAUUUCCCGUUAUACGAACUUACAAAGCUUAAAAGCUUACUUUGUUUUAUUUCCUCUGUUUUAUAGUGCUCGGAAGCUCAUAAAGGUUGGAAUUGGCCAAAGCAUCAUCACACUAUCCUUCAGUUCGUUUUGGUAUAAAUAGCAAACUUAUUUUAGUAUAAUAGCAUGUAUGGGUUAAGUUGGCCAAUGAUGUCAUAUAUAUAUGGUUGGUUGUAACUAGCCAUUGGAAUGGCUAGUGAUGGCUUGUUUGAUGUAAAUGUAUGAGGGUACAAUAUGAUUAAUAUAAAUAUGUGCUUGGUAUGAUUAGAUUGAAUUUUGGUAAAUUUAUAUGUUUAUACAAACAAGUAAGUUUGAAUACAUGUGAUGAUAUAUUAUGCAUAAGAUUGGUUGUGGCUUGGUUUUAAUGUAUUGAAUUGGUUGGUGAAUGUAUUCAAGUGUUAUUGUAGGUCGAAGGCAAAAUUGGGUGAGAAAAGUGACCUUAAAAAUGGCCUAUUUUUGUUUAUACGGGCAGAUACACGAGCGUGUGUCUGAGCCGUGUGUGACACACGGCUAUGCGCAUGGGCGUGUGGUUUAGCCAUGUGUCCCCUACAUCUUUAAAUUGAGAAACAGAAUGCUCAGGUAUUUUCACAAGGGCAGAGACACGGGCAUGUGUCUCAGCCGUGUGUGACACACGGCCUAGCGCAUGGGCGUGUGACUUAGUCAUAUGACCCUUGUACCUAAUUAAUGUAAAAUAAAUUGUUCACACGCCCUAGCACAAGGGCGUGUGGCUUGACCGUGUGACCCAAGUCAGUAGCUACCCUAAUUUGCACACGGGUUGGGAUACGGCAGUGUUCCUUACAUCGAAUGCCCACACGGUCUGAGACACGGGCGUGUCAAUUGGCCGUGUGAGCUACACAGCCUGGCUACACGGACGUGUGUCCUCUGCACCUAAGAAAAAUAUUUAAAUUUCACAAAAAAAAUUCUGAGUUCCCAGUUUAGUCCUGACUUGUUUUAAGUGCAUAAUUUGGGUCUCGAGAGCCCAUAUAAAGGACAUUAUAAUUGAAUAUGAUUGGUUUUGGAUUUAAAUAAUAAAUGUUACGAAUUUACUAUAUUUGAUCUGUAGACUCCGUGUAAUGCUCUGUAACCCUGUUUCGGCGACAGAUAUGGGUUAGGGGUGUUACAAAGAUAGUGUUGUAAAAGUUAUAUCUUUUCCUUCAAAGGUAUCAAUUUAGUAUCGAAUUGAAAAAUCCUUAGUGGUGAAAAGAUAAGGUGGUGAAGGUAGACAAUUGCCAUUUCAAAUUCAUUAUGUAAAUUUAUUCUUUCUUCAUAUUUUCAUUUCGAAUAGUUUGUAAGAAAUUUUCAAAAUAUCAAUUUAGCCCCCUCUUAAAAUUUUUGUAUAACAACCCGAAUUUUAAUGGUGUCAAAAAUUAUAGUUUUGGGACCCCAUUUUAGUAAAAUGAGCCCGUAAAUAUUAAAUAAGGAUCGUACAUAGUUAGUCUAUAGAUGAAUUGAAAUUCGAUUAAGUAAUUUAGCAGAAAAAAUGGUUAAUUAAGGCUCAGGGGUUAAAUUGAAAAAUCUAAUCGUUAUAGAUUUUUAAUUAGAAAAAGGUUUGGAGACCUAGAUAGAAAUUAUCCAAUAGAAUAAAAUGAUAAAUAGACCAAUAAUAAUUAAUAACUAGUGGACAGUAACGAUGAAAUUCAUUUUGUUUUAAUUAAAAGAUAAAAUUUUAUAAUAAAACAUAAUUAAUUAAAUUAAAUUUGAUUGAUAAAAUUUUAAUUAUAUAUAUAUAAGAAAUUAAUGGAAGGAAAGAUGAUAACAUCAUCUUCCUCCACUGUCUAAAUUAGAAGAAAAAGAAUAAAGGAAGUCAUGGUUAAAGGUUGAAGCUUACAUUUGGCUAAGCUAAAACCUAAGGUAAUUUAAGUCUUUUUCAUAUAUUUUUUAUUGCUUUAAGGUCAUGAGAGCUUGAUUUAGCUAGCUCAUGUACCAAGUUGAUAAAUUUUUGAAAAUUUAAUCAGUUUCCAUUGUUGAGAAUUGGAUGAAUUAAGUGUGAAAUUUAUAGAAAUUAAGUUUCGUUUAUGAAAAUGACUAAAUUAUAAAGCUUAAUUAUUGAUUUUGUAUAUUAAGGACCAAAUUGAAUAAAAUGAAAAACUAUUAUGAAAUUUAGGUAGGAAUAGAAAGUAAAAGUUCCCUAAUGAGUAUAUGUGAAAUUAGACUUUAAUUCGAAGCUUUAGAUUGAAAGUUAUGUUUUUCUCAAGUUUAUGGGCUAAAUUGAAUAAACUAAAAAAAUAUGUUUGACUUGGUAUUUGAAUGUGAUGUCUAUGGAAUUUGAUAUUGUGUCAUUGUUGAAUUAUUAUCCGUAGCUAAAGACGACGAUGGGUCAUUGAGAGGGAAAGGAAAAGUGAGAGCCGACGACGAGUGACACGAGCUAUCAAUUUAUAUUUCUAUGAUUCAAGAUCAAUUUAAUUAUUGCAUAUUCAUGACAUCUUGCAUUAUAUAAUGUUGAGGUGAGUUUUCAAUGGUUAUUUGAGUUGAAUUGUUAUGGUUGAGAUUGAAUAUCGAGACAAUGGCUAUAUUAAAUAGAAUAGGAAUUUUGUGAAUUAGCUUAUAUAUGAUAAUUGGUAUGAAAUUGAGUUGAAACAUAUUAUAUUACAUGAUGAGCUGAUGAAUUGAUGAUGAACUGGAUAUUAUAAAGUAUGAAUUGAAUUGUGCAAUGAAAUUGGAAAUUUGGUUACCCUAUUAGUUGUUCGGGUAUUAAUUUAAAACCAUUGUUGUCGGAAAACAUGGGGUGUUUGAUUGUACAUAGAAAUUCAUCGUUGACGAGCAAUCUCAGGUAACAGAAUAUUCAGAUUGUGAAAACCAUCGUUGUCGGGCAACCUGGGGUGACAGAUUCGUGCAUCCAUUUUAAAUUUGUGUUUGGUUAAUAGGGUUAUAUAAACAUGAUUUGGCCAUAUGGUAAAUUAAAAUCAAAUGUGAUUGAUUAGGUAUAACUACACAUAUAUUAAAUGUGAUAUUUGAUAGCAUGUGAAAAGUCAAGCGAAAUGAGUUAAAAAUGAGUCUUAGGGGCUGAUUGAAUAUGAAUGAGCUAUUAGGCUCUAAAAUGGAUUGAAAUGAUGAGAUGAAAUUGAAUAUAUAGAUUGAUGAAUGUAUAUGUAUAAGUAUAUAUUUAUAAAUGAUGAUAUGAAGUGUUCAAGUAUGCAUGAAGUGAAAUAUAUGGAAAAAAUAGUUAUAUAUGGUAUGCUAUAUGAUGAAGAAUUUGUAUUUUAAUGUUGAAUGGCAUGAAUGAUAAGUUAAGUGCCCAUAUUAGUGAAUUGAAGUACAAACUACUACCUAUAGAUCUAUAUAUGUAUGUCAUAUGUUAAUGGGAACUAUUGACACAUUUGGUAUGUGUAUUGAUUAAAAAUAAUACUUGAAUUGAUUGUUUGCAUUUGAUACUUGUGUUAUAUUGACUUGAAUCAUGAAAACACCAUUGAGCUUUAUUAAUCAAUGUACGGCUUGUUUUCUUUGUGCGCAAGUAUAAUUUAAUAUUGAGGUUACGAGAAGUGAUUCCAACAUAAAGCCAGAGACCCUCGGAUCAGCUAUGUUUGUAUGGUCCUGUUUUGUUUAAAUAUAUGACAUGUACCUAGGUUGAGUUGGUUUUUUAUAUAAUAUGUGGUCUUGUGAACUUUUAGAGUUAGAAUUGGUAAUUUGGAAGUGAUUAUAUGUUUGGUUUGUGCAAUUUAGAUUGUCACGAUAUUUGGUAAUGCAUAAAUUGUAGUAUGCUAUUAAUUUAUAUGGUAAUGUAUGUAUAUAUAUGCAUGUAUACUUAUGCUAAGUGGACUAAUGGUUAGCAUAAUGAAAUUGCUUAGGUGUUUGGAUAAAAAUGAUGAAAUGGAUGGAAUGUAUAUAUGUUUGAAAGGUAUUAUGACUUAUAAUUGAAUCCAUUGGAUAUGUAUGUUUUGCUAAAAUUAUGAAGGCAAAUGUGUAUUUGAAAUGCUUAAGUGAUUCAAAAAGAUACCAAAUUAGACCAUUUAGAAACAAACGAUCAUGUCGCGAAGAUACCAAAUGAUUAGGUGAUUCAAGAAGAUACAAAGUCAGUAUGUUGCGUCGCGACGAGGAAUCCCCGAAGUUGUGACGUCAACUUGAGAUUUUUGAAAACAUUGCAGUUUAAUCCUAACUUGACCUCGGGUUAGCAAUAGAGCUUUCGUAAGCUCAUAUAAGAUCCGUGAAGCUUUGUUUAUCAUAUAAUAUUCAUAUAUUGCUUGUAUUUAGAUGUGUACUAAUAUAAAUUGAUUAUAUUUGAUCGUAGUUGCUCCGACAACGAAUGUAGCAUCUUGUAACUCGGACUCGACAGUUGAGUCGAGUAUGGGGUGUUACAUUUUGAGCUUAACAAAAUAGUUUAAAAGUAGUUAUUUAAAUAUAUAUAUUUUAAACCUUUUGUUAAUUUAAUUAAAUUUUGCUAUAUUAUAAAUAUUGUUUUUAUUUAAAAACAUCUAUUUUUAUUUUUAAAAAAUAUGUGUUUUUAAACUUAAAACAUUUGGAAUAAUUAUAUAAAAACAUUUGAAUUAUAAAAUUUAAAUUUUAUAUUAUAAUAUUUAAAAAAUGGUUGAAUUACUUAUGCGUCAAUGAAUUCAUAACAUUAAAGUUAAUUAGAAAAAAUAUUAAAUUAACAUAAUUAUUAUAAAUAAAUUUUAACAAAAAUUAAUUAUUAAAAAUUACAUAUUGCUUCAUAUUUAUCAGUAAGUAUGAUUUAUAUAAAAAAAUUUAAUAAUAUAUUAGUAUCUUUUAUACACCAUAUUUAAUAUUUGAUUUACAUUGUGUUUGAUAAACUAAAUAAUUAAAUGCUGAAAAAUUAAGUAUUAAAUUUAUUUUAUUAAAUUUAUAUUAUAAAAAUGUUUGAUAUAUUAGUAAAAAUUAGCAUUAAAUAUUUUUUUUGUGUUUGAUAAUAGUAAAUCUUGAAUUUUGAAAAUCUAUUAUUCCAUAAUUUUAUUUUUAUGAAUAUAAUAUUAUUUUUUUAUUUUGAAUAGUUAUGGAUAAAAUUUAAAGAUAAUAAUUUGAAUAUUUUAAUUUUAAAUAAAACGAAGAAAUAAUUAAUUUCAAAAUUAACAUUUUGGAAAAUAAAGUUAACUUAAUAUUUUUAAUAUUAAGUGAUAAGUAAAAAGUUAAUAGGAUUAUCAAAGGCAAUUAAAAAAUAAAUGUUAAAUUUUGUUAUUUUUAAUAAAAUGAAUAUUUUCAAUGAUUUAUCAAAUAUAUCCUUAGUUUAAGAAUACAAUUUAUUAAUUUUAAUAUUGAAAUAUUAUGUAAAUUUUAUUAAAUAAAUAAUAAUACAUUUUAAUAUAUUAAUACAUAUAAUCAAUCCGUGUAUUGCACUGGCAAAAAACCAAAUUAUAUUAUUUUAGAUUAAAUUGUGUCUUAAUGGUAGAUACAAAUUAACACGGUUUUAGCAAUACGCAAAGGUUAAAAUCUUGAGAUCUUGAAUGCUUAAAUUUGAGUUCCACCACAUGUAUUUAUUUAGGUGUGGAUUUUCAGUCUGAACUUAGGUCUAAAUAUAUAUUUUGGUUAUUAAUCCAUUGGUUUUUUAUUAUAGUUAUAUAAAUAUAUUAGUUAAUUCUAAGUGUGUAUGAAAAAAUUUUGGAUGAAAAUAUAAAAGGAAAAUAUAAAACCGCCGAAGAUGCAGUAAAUGUAAGACAAUUUAUUUUUCCUUGACAACAAAAGCUACCAUACGAAACAAGGACAGAUACUGAGAUUCAGAAACAUGCAUAUAGAGGGGAAAGUCAAAGACAGAAAGAAAAUCAAAUGAAUGCAAAUUCAAUAUCUCUUUAUUCGAAAUAAAGACUGGCAAAUUCGGAACAGCCCCAAAACACAAGUAACAGCGAGCCACAGCCAACGUCCAACUCACCUCUUCAUCCCUCCUUCGGUAACUGGGGCCAUUGUUACACCUGGGUUUUGAUUCCCUUUCCAUCCUAAACACAAUUCAUGCCCAGCAUAAAACCAAACAAUUUGGAUUUUAUGUAAUAUAUAAUGAAAUGGGAAGAUUGAUGAGAAUGUAUACUAACCGCGUUUCAUGUCGAAUCCUUGGUAUUUGAGCUGUCGGUACUCUUGACACAAGGCACAGUAGUGACAGAAACAGUGGACGAGGAAAUCAUUGCAAGGGCUUUGUUUCAAUCCAUAUUGGCCCCUCAGUCUCCUACGAUGAAUGCAUCCAUAGAAUAUUGAUGGAAGAACUGCUCUUAUAUGAUGUAAUAAACAAUACAGCAGACAGCUUUCUCCACAUGCAGCAAACAAAGCUCCGAAUACACACCACAAGCAUUUAGUAACUCUCUACUUGUAAUCCUUUAUCCUAUCUCAUGCACCCCUAUGUACCCAAAACAAAAUGAAAAACCAAUGAAGGAGACAUAUAUGUAUUACAUAUAUACUUACAUAUACUUCCUUUGUUUAUAAUCUCAGCGCUCCUGCCGAAAGUAAUACAGGGGCAGAAGAUUGUCAUGCAGCCUGUUAAACACACAAAAACGGAGGAUUCAUAUAUUAAUAUAUAUCCUAUCCUAUCAUAUUAAAAGAAGAUUAAUUAUUAGUGAUUUCAUUGGAAUGGAAGCCCAAAGGAUGAAAUAUUUAAGAACACGUUACGAAUAGACUGAAACAUCAGAGCAGCAGUCGCAAAAUCCAGUGGACCAAGGGGAUUCUCCUUCAUAUUUGGAGUUUUCCAUUCUCUUUCUGCGUAUCCUUGCAGCAGCACAAGUGAGCGUCCCUGUGGCACGUUGAAAGCUUGUUUGCAAUCAGAAGUGUGGAGGUGAUAUAUAUAUAGAGACCCAUGAAGGAGAAGUGCCACAUAUACUACUUAGUUAUUUGGCACAAUUCCUGCCGUUGAAAGGAGAGAUUAGAGGGAACCCAAGUAUAACAUGGUCUGAAAUCCUUAUUAUUGAUCCAUAUUAUCCUCAUGCAUAAGGAUAUUAGAUUUGAUUAAGCCUUUUUUCGUUCUAGUUUCGGAUUAUUGUUCCGUUGACAUUAUAGAACAGAAGUCAUAUAAAAAUUUAAAUUAAAAUGAUAGUUCCAUUCACAAGGUUUCCAUACAAUUUCAACAAGUGGUCUUAAUUUGCAGGAAACUUAAUUAUGCAUGAUUGAAACUUAUUAAUGGAUUCCACUUCCCUUUCUCAAUUAUGCAUGAUUGAAGCUUAUCAAUUGAUUCCACUUCCCUUUCUCAGUUAUGCAUGCGUAAUUCGAAUAAUUCGGGUAAUUCGAUUAAUUCAGUUAAUUCGGUUAAUUUUAUACUUAUUUUAACCAAAAAUUAAAAAACAUAUAAUUUUCGGUUAAUUUGGUUAACCGACCGAAUUAACCGAAAAAUUUUUGGUUCGGUCAAUUUUUUUGAAAAAAUUUCGGUUUAGUUAACGGUUAAAAAUUUUGAAAGGUCGGUUAAUUCGGUUAAUGUUAUUUCAGGUCGGUUAACCGAUUGAACACCCUUACUCAGUUGUGUUUAUUAGAAAAUCUCCACAUCUCUCUUAGGAGAAAGUAGUUAGAUAAUGUUCACAUGUGUCGAGUUUGGGUAGCACCUAUGCCUAGUAUUAAUACCAUAAAUAGUAGCAUAAACCCGUCCUAGCAAAAAAUAUGAGUUUUAAAUUUUAUUCUUACUUGUCUGUAUUUGUAAAAGGUUAAUCCAAGUUCAUUUAAACUCUCCCAUGUUAUUUUUUUAAUUUUUAAAAUAUAAUUAUUUUUAUUUAAAAUUUAUUAAUUAUAUAUCUUUUACUAUCAUUAUAUUUUUCGUUUAUAAAAUUUUUAACAUAAACAAACUAAUAUAUUUCUUAAUAUUUUUCAUUAUAGUAUAAUAUAUUUAAUUUUUCUUAUGAUAUAAAUUACAUAUUAUAAAAUAAAUGAAAAAAUAUAUUAUAUUGUUGAAAAUAGUUCAAGUCAGGCCAAGCUUGAGAUUUGAAUAUUUAAGCCUGCGUCUGACCCAUAUUUUAAAUAGGCCUAAUCUCAUUACCCAAGCCCACUUUUAAGCUUAAUAUUUUUAUCCAAACACUCUCAAAUUUUAGGUGGGUAACUCGACCCUCAACAAGUCUAAUGUAUUUGCAUGUAUUUAUAUAUUAACACAUGCAUUUUAUUAAGAACCUAAAAAUUAGACUAUGAAAGUAUAUACGAAAAAUAUCUGAAAAUAUUAAUAAACCUGAAAUGAUAUGCCGAAACAUAUCAAUACCAAUACACACAAUACUGAAACAAAAACGAUAUGCCAACUCGUAUAAUACUAAUAACCUUAGUAGAAAUAGCUCAUAAAACCUAUUUUCAUAGCCAUCACAGUUUCAUGCUUUUCAAUAGACCAUGAAAUUUUGUUAUAAUGUUAUUGUCCUCUUUUCUUAAUACCUAAGUAUUGGAGGAAUCUUGAACAUAGACGUUUCUUUCCACGUUAAAAACUUGGCCCUAUAUGUAGGGAAAUAUUGGGUUGGAAGGAUGUCCAAUAGAUUCGAAAGAUUUAUUGAUGUGUUUAUCACAACUAAGAGAAAUAGUAGAUGUCACACCCUUAUUAGGUGAACCGAAUCGGUUGGGGAGAAUUCGCCAACAGAGACCGCCUAAGUUGCGAAACUUAGACCGAAUAAGGUUGAUAACUUCGUGGUUGAGUGGUAUGAAGAACUUCGCCAAUUCUACGAAGUGCCAAUCUUAGCAAUAGGAAGGAUAUAGUUAGAGCGAGAACCUUAUUAGGCGGACUUACCCGCUAAUAAGAUCGACACAUGUGUUUUAGUGUCAUUACUUAAGUAAGAAUGAUAGCUUAUAGGAUACGUUAAGUUCACCUGGCAUAUUAAUGGAGGCAACGUGUCAAUAAUUAAGACAAUUGUAGAGUCUCAUGGGAUGUGAUUAAUUAGUGGAAACAUGUGAGAACAAGUAAUGAUUCGAGAUAAUCUUGAUUGGGAUUUGGAUGUGGGGGUAGCUAUAAACUAGAUAACGUGAUAGUGGAGAGAAGAUUUUUCAUUCUUCUUCUCCACCAGGCUUAAUUAUCAUUGAAGAAACCAUGAGGGAUCUUCCUUACUAACAAUUAUGUUAACCAUAAAAUUUUAGAAGAACUUUGAUCCUAAUUGUCUAUUGGUACAUUCUUAGACCUUACUUUAAGUUUUGUUAGAUAGAUAAAGAUUAACUUAAGAAAAGGUUAGUAGGAUUUCUUUAAAUCCUGGGUAGGAAGGAAACUCCUAUCCAGAAACCAUUUGCAUGUCUAUAGAUUCUUGUUGUAUUUUAAGAUUUUGGUUAUUUUCAAUGGUUAAAGAAGUUGUUUUAUUGGUUAGCUAAAGAAAUGGGAGGAGGUCCAGUGCUAAAGGAAAACAACUAGUAGAGUAGAUAAAUCUCUAAGUAAAGUAUUCUGGUGAGUUCAUUUGUACCUUGCGUCUAGUAUCUGUGUUAAUUUGUUUACUUCUAAACUCUGUACAACCAGGUAAGUGGCUUAGUCAUUUGUUUCUGAUAUUCAUGUCUGAGAAGUCUCAUUCAAAGAGUCAAUGCAUGCAUGGUUAAUUAUGGUUAAAAAGGCCGAAAAACUUGAUAUUUAUAUAGUAAGAGUACUCCUUCUUUAGUGCAUAAGCUCUAUGUCCAGAUAGGUGUAAGGAGGUAUCGAAAGGAUGCAUUAUAAAAUGAUAAAAAAAAGAUACAAGAUAAUACGUUUGCCUCUAGUAUGGUAUUUUGCAAACAGUGAUUGGUGAAAACUCAACCUUGCGAGAGGACAAUUAUGCUUUCAUACAAUAAGGGGAGUUAGGAGGAUAUGGAGUUGAUGAUGUUAUAUAGCUCAGAUGAGCGAAUGUAAAGAUACAAGAAAAUUUUGGUUCUACGAGAAUUGAGGAUCAAAAGCUAGCACAAGGAAAUGAGUCAUUAGAAAAAUGGUGCAUGCCGUAUUACAUGUUGCAUGGGAACAUUAGUAAGCUUGUCUGUCAUAAAUGAUAACCUAGCCAAGUGGUGUAUUCUUGGAGCAUAUGUGCCCGUGAUUGUCACAUAUGAGUAUAGAAACUAAAUUUGAUCACCAAUAGGCCGAGUUGAGUAAUGGUAUUGUCUGCCAAUUGGACUGCAAGCCAAAGUAAUGUAUUUGCCAACUAUGGCAAACUAAUCAAGUCCCUUUUUUUUUUGAAAUGUUUGUAGUAACCAUGGUAGGAUAGUCCUUCUUAAGAACUCACUAAUUUCUUACGAACUUACCCAAUUUCUUCAUUAUUUCCGGUUCUUAGGUUAAACGUGGUGACUUAAGGGAGAUAGCCAGACUUGUAGCCAUUUGUGAGCCUUCUUAAUGGUCAGGGUUAACAUGUAUUUGCUGGGGGUGCUAGGUCUCUUAUUAGAUGCCGCCACUUAGAAAUUUUUAGUUUGUAUUGAAUGUUAUUUUGAAAACAUUGAAUGUUGAGUGGCAUCCUAGAUGACAUAACGAUAUUUAAUAUUUUUUAGGUAUAUUCAGUAGAUGAAAAAAGGUAAUCCAAGUAUAACUAAGUCUUUAAAUGUGGCGAACUGUUAUACUAAAAUUGUGCUUCCAAAUAAAGGUAAACUUAGACUAAAGAAGUAUUGCUCUAAUGAAGGGGAAAUCUUCUAAAAUUGAUAAGUUCUUUUCUAAGGAAAAGUAAAUAGACAUGUUGACGCUUCUUAACUGGAUCUGAGGGUUAGGGCGGGCAAGGGGUGCCACAUUAGAGGGUGCAAAUUUUGCUUUGUUAGAUUUAAUGAAUUGGAACAAGCAAUAAAUGCAUUUAGAGUUUUGAACAACCAAUUCUUUAAAUACUAACUUAUGGUGAAUAUGGUAAAUUUUAUGUAAGACAUUGCAUCCAAUUUAGUUUGUAGAUCCGGAUACAAGAUGUCGCAUUCAUUGUAGAAGCAACUCAAAUCAAUAUAAAUCAUAACAUUUAAGUAUGAACAAGUAAAUGUGGAAUAUGAAUAAUAAGCAAAUAAAACUUUAUUGCAUGUAUAAGAUGUUAACGGGCCCACAUACCGAAGUCUAAGGUCAGUGUCAGUAAAAAAAUAUGGCCAAGUUAUGAUUUAUAGGUCAAAAUACCAAAAUACUAGGUUAUGUUUUAGGACAGUUUGGCCAUGUCUCCCCUAUUUCACUAUUUUAGCUUCAAAGUUUGUGGUAUUGAGACAAUGACACCAUAUCUUGAGACAUUGACCUUCAUAUCUCAAGGCAAGCCUUGUCUCGAAACCUUAGACCAAUUUUAUCCUAAUUAAGCUUUAAUGUUUUAUGUUUCAGACAAGGCUAUUAUGUUUCAAGACCAUGCAUCACAUGAUCGAGCCAAGUUUGACGUGUCUCGAUACUACCACUUGGAAAUGCAUAAAAAUAUUCUUAAGAUCUCAAAAAAAGUUCUUGAUGUCUCGAGAUCUCAAGAAACAAGUGUAGAGUUAUAGAAAAAUGACAUCUUAUGGUAUGCUAUGAGACUUUUAUAAGUACCUAAAUGUAUCUAACAUGUUCUCAAACCAUCACAAACACAUUAUACAUGUUGAAACAAGUGUAAAACUUGCGAAUGCUUAAAAUAUACCUAAAAACAUCAAAAUUUUAAUAGGCAUGUACUUGAUGACACAAAACUUAUGCAUAAACCAUAUCAAAAUUAAUCACCAAAAGUCCAACAUAAAUGUAACCAGUUAUCCUUUGAGUAAUAUAGCACAGGCUAAAUACCAAAACCAUUCAAAGACACCAAAAUUCUUUAUGGAAAAGCAUGUCAAAUAUCCUAAAAUCCUUGGUACAUGUCUUUUGUUACACAAGGAGUAAAAGAAACAUUACAAACACAAUGAUAAAAUUCUGAUAUGAGACUUUUAGAUGCUACGAACACAUGAGACAACUUCGAAAGGAACUUCUAACUUGUGCACAAAAACAAACAAAUCCAUAUGCUAAGUGAUGAAACUCAAUGGUGCAAACAAAAUUCAAAAUUCAAAAUAUAAUAAUAUUAAGUGAAUAAGCAUACUAAAAUUAACAUAACUUCGCAAAUCAUGUCAUGAAUUAUCAUUGAAUCAUUAUGCAUCCUUUCCCAAGCAUAUUUAUACAAGCAUGAAAUAGCACCAAGAUAUCUUAAAAUUUUACAAGAUAUAACUAACACAUUUAAUAAACAUGUUCAACUUCAUAUAAAAAUUAUUGUACCAUUAAAACAUAUGUUCUCAAUGAAUUUGACAAUGCCAAUGUAACAUCCCAAACCCGGCCUAGACGUUAUGGCCGAAUCUAGCGAAGUCACAUGAGAAUGUAUUCAAAAUCAAAUUUACUCUAAACCGUUCCAAUUAUUGUCUUUCACUUAACUUAGAAAACGUGUACUGACUGAUUUAUUUGCUUGAAACCAUUUCUUAAUACGCGAAACUUAAAAACAAAUAAAAUUAUCGUUAUGCGUUGCAGUUUCAAAAUCCAGAAACAGUAGAUCAAAAUCCCAAGUUAAAACAUAAAAGUUCAAUUUUAGAAAUUACAUAAAAUCCCUUAAACAUACCAGUUAAAACGGUACAUUCAACUAAACCUUAAAACUAGAGUAUAUAUGGCGGUGGUCACUGUCGAGCCCUCCUUUGCACUGAUCCAUCUUUUGCUGGGGAUUACCUGACAAAUAAAACGAUAAAGGAGUGAGUUUUCGCAAACUUAGUGUGUACGUCCCCCACAGUAAAGCAUGCAUGUAAACAGAUAACAGUCAAGCGAUCAUAAAACGAGCUUGAGCUCCUAACAUAAUCAGUGUAAGCUCUAGCCCACUCAAAACAGUAUCAGAUACAUUCGGGCCUUAGCCCAUACAGUUAUACAUGUAUAUCAAGCAGUACUGUGCAUGCCCACCACCCCUGCACACCAUCUCCGUCCACCCCUGCACACCAUGUGGGGAUAAAAUCAACCCACUCAGCCCUACACACCAAGUAUGAGGAUAAAUCAACCCAUCCAACCCUACACACCAUAAGGUACCGUGUAAUGGCACAUAUCAAUAACUGCAGCGAAGCUGCCAGAUAAGCGGCUAAAGAGCCUUUCAAUCUUCCUUCUCUUCAAUAUCAAACCCAACCCAAUGCAAUGCAACAUGAAUAAUUCAUGGCAUGCUUUCAACAGUAAACAACUUGUACGUAUUGUAAUACCCCAUAUCCGUAUUCAUUGCCGGAAUAGGGUACGAGGUAUUACCGGAGUUUACAAAUAAAUAAUUUUUUUUCUUUUUUUCUUUUUUUUUUAGGAAAACUCAAUAUAAUCCCUUUACAGAUAUCUAACCUUCCCUUCAAUAUUAUAUCGAGACCAAUCCAAAUCAACCAAUCCAAUUCAACAUAUUUUCAAGAUAGAUUCAUGCAUUUUUAUAAGAUAACCUCAUCACAUAACUAAACCAAGAUUUGUUAGCCAUACCAUUGGCUGACCUUACAUUCAUUUCAUAGAAUCAUUUACUUUAUUAGCUUAUACAUGCCAUUGAUUUCCAAAAUAAAGUUUCUUUAUAUACCGAAGUCCUGAAGUUGAUAGUGUGAUGUGUCUCCGACCAAAUCCAACCUCCGAGCUCUUAACACUACAAAACAGGGAAAAGGAAAUGGGGUAAGCACUUUGUGCUUAGUAAGCUCCUGUAACAAGAAUUAUACUUACCUAAUAUUUUCAAUACAAUACAAUAAACAUUCCUAUAUCCAUUCAAUGCAUCAUUACCCUAAUAUGCACAAACUCAACAUUCAAGUUAGUACAAUAAUUUCCAUGUACCAAUAAUAUAUACCAUGAUUGAUGAGCUCAUCAAUACCAUGAUUUCCAUUUCCUUGUUAUUUUUCCAUAUUUAUCCCGUUGAAUUUAUCAGAAUUUCGAUGGAUUUUUCAGAGGUACACUUUUAUUGUACAAUUCCGGGUCCGUCAAUUCAUAUUCAUGUGCGCACAUUUCCAUUUCAGAGAGCACACUCCCGCGAACCUCAACCUUGUAGCGGGAUUACCAGUCCAGGCUAAAUCCCCUACAAUAUAAACUCAUAGAGUAUUGUCGGGAUUACCAGUCCAUGCUAAAUCCCCUGCAACGACAAUUACUCUAAUUAGCUUGGAUCUGAAUUACCAGUCCAGGCUAAAUUCAGAACCUAAUUCGGAUUACCCGUCCGGGCUAAAUCCAUUUUACACAUAUUCUUCGGGAGGGCUAUAUUAGGUUAGGAUCACCCGUCUGGGCUAGAUCCUUUUUACCGUCAAUUCCUUUUCAAAGAUCCAUCAAAUUUUCCUUUCAUUCAACCGGGAUUUCUUCCCCUUUUGUCAAAUAUAUCAAUGUUUCAUAAAUUUUCAUAUAAUGAACAUUCAAAUCAUAUUCAUAUCAAAAACAUACAUUUCAAGCAUUUAAGAAUAUAAUUCAAGUUACAUGAACUUACCUUGAUACUUGUUUGUAAACAAAAAAUCUACUAAUCCCGAACUUUUUCCUUUCCUCAAUCUAGCUUCGUAUUUGAAUCUUCUGGAUCUAAAUAAAUAAAUUUAAUUAUCAAUUUAAUACAUUUCAUAUUCAUAUGCAACAUUCUCUAUAAUUCAACUAUUAUUUAUAGUUCAUUCAAAGCUAUCUACUUGAGUCAUAGUCACUAAAUUAUUUUUAUCUUGAGAUACAGAACUCCAAAUUAGGAUCCAAUAAUUUUCUCUGAAACUAGACUCACAUAUAUUAUUACCAUAAAAUUUUUAUAAUUUUUGGUUUACCCAAUCAGUACAGUUUAUUCUUUAAAGUCACCCCUGUUCUACUGUCGACAGUUCUAACCCUUCUUCACUAAAAAUUAAUUAUCUCUUCAUAAAGAAUUCAAAUGAUGUUCUCAUUUAUUUCUAUUAAAAAUAUACUCAUUAAGAAUUCUAGACAUAUAAAUUUAAGCCCCUAAUUGUUUUUCUUCAAUUUUUUAUGAUUUUUCAAAAUCAGAACAGGGGAACCCAAAUUCAUUCUGACCUUGUCUCACAAAAUUCAUUAUAUCUCAAAAUUUACAAAUCCAUUGCUUACACUAUUUCUUCUACGAGAAACUAGACUCAAUAAUAUUUAAUUCCAUAUUUUUUUUAUCUUCUAAUUCGAUUUCUAUAAUUUAUGGUGAUUUUUCAAAGUUAGUCUACUGCUGCUGUCCAAACUGUUUUUGUGCAAGCUGUUUAUUACCAAUUAGCCUCUCAAUUGAACUAAUUUUUCUCAAUUAAUAUUUUAUUCUAUCACCUUAAACUAUUUUACAACCUUUAGGAAUUAGAAUUUCAGCAAUAGACUUAAAUUCCAAGCAUUUUCACAAUUAGGUCCUAAAAAUCAAUUUCUAUUGAAAUUACCUAAUAAAAUCAUCUCAUAAACAAAUUAAAGCUUUAAUUUCAUUCUAUUUAAUCAUAAACUUACAGAACUCAAUCAUGGUGACUUUCAAUUUCAUCCAUGAAAUCAAAAACUAAUGAAUUUAAUAGUAGGACCUAGUUGCAAAAGUCUUAGAAACACAAAAAUUACAAGAAAAAGGCAAGGAUUAACUCACUUGGUGCAAAAAUUAUGAAAUACCAGCUUAGAGAACCCUCCUAUGGCAUUUUUAGCUGCUGGAAUUGAAGAGAAAUGAAGAGAAAUCUAGAUAUUUCCUAUUUAGUCCUAGCUUUAUUUAGUUAAUUUUGCAAUAUUCCAAUUUUACCCUUAAUUUAUCAAUUUUUCUGCUGAUUUCAUACCCUUUCCGUCCAGCCCAAAUAACUUUUGGGUCUAAUUUCCUUUUAAAUCCUUUCUCAUUAGACUCUUAAACUAUUUAAUCAUUCUAGCAACUUUUACACCUAUUACAAUUUAGUCCUUUUCAUUUAAUUGACUACCCAAACAUUAAAAUUUCCUAACGAAAUUUUAAUACCACAUUAAUAACAUUUCAUAAAUAUUUAUAAAAUUAUUUUCGACUCGGUUUUACAAGAUAGAAGUCUCGAUACCUUGUUUUUACCCAAUUUCUUCAAUAAUUUCUUUUUCUAACUAACCACUAAAUUGGUAAAAUUUUUCUAUCAAUAUUUUCAUACGAUUUUCCUAUCAUAUCAAUUUUCAAGCAAAAAUAUUGAAAUAAAUUUCUCUUUAAAUCAGAUUUGUGGUUACGAAACCACUGUUCCGAUAAUUUUGAAUUUAGGCUAUUACACGUACUAUACUCAGAUCAGAUCAAUAUUUAUACACAUGCUAAGUAUAACAUGCUAGCAUACAUCUCAAUAUCAUGUUACAGAACAAAGCCUAAGUAACGCUUACCAACCCCUUUAACAGGUCACAGUCGACUAGGGUGACCCGUGCAACCUUUCAAAACAAAUCAGAUUAUUGGGCUCACACAGCCCAAAUUGGCCUUGCCCGUGUGGAUCACACUGCUUGGUCCAAAUUCCCAAAAGCCCAUGUGGUUCACCAGUGUGGGUCCACACGCUCGUGUGCCCCACAAGGCCCAAUUGCUCUAGCCUAUGCCUCGCACACGGCCUAGCCAGCCUCAUGAAUAUUUUUCCAGAACCGAGACGUAAAACGAGGAUCCCUAUCAGAGAUGAUCGAAACAGGAACCCCAUGCAACCUCACUAUCUCUGAAAUAUACAUCUUAGCUAGCUUUUGCAAUGAGAAGUCUAUCCCAACCAGAAUGAAAUGUGCCGACUUGGUCAAUCAAUUUACGACGACCCAAACGGAAUCCUUCUUAGUGGGUGUUAGAGGUAACCCACCAACGAAGUCCAUCGUUACUCGCUCCCAUUUCCACAUGGAUAUCUUUACUGGCUGUAGCAAACUCGAAGGUAACUGAUGCUCAGCCUUAACCUGCUGACAAGUCAAACAACGAGCAACAUAGUCUGUCACCUCACGUUUCAACCCUGGCCACCAAUACAACUCUCGAAGAUCUUUAUACAUUUUGUUUCCACCAGGAUGUAUAGCAUAAGGACUACUAUGUGCUUCCCUCAGAAUCGACAGUCUCAAAUCCUUAUCAUUAGGUACACAGAUCCUACAUCGGAAACACAGUACCCCUUCAAUGUCAAUCCCAAAAUCAGUAGUAGUUCCAGACUCAAUCUGAUGAAAUCGUAACUCAAGAGACUUAUCUCCUAACUGUUUAUCCUUAAUCUGAUCCAGCCACAUCAGUCUAACAUGUAACUCAGCCAGGAGACUUCCAUCGUCAUAAAGGCUCAGUCGAGCGAACAUCGCUCUUAGAUCGGUCAUAGCCCUACGGCUUAAUGCAUCGGCCAACACAUUGGCCUUACCAGGGUGAUACUCGAUUCUGCAGUCGUAAUCCUUAAGCAGUUCAACCCAUCGAUGCUGCAUAAGAUUUAACUCCUUCUGAGUGAGGAGAUACUUGAGGCUCUUGUGAUUAGUGUAGAUGGUACACUUUUCACGUACAGAUAAUGUCUCUAGAUCUUUAAUGCAAAGACAACUGCAGCCAACUCCAAAUUAUGCGUCGGAUAAUUAGCCUCGUGAGUCUUGAGCUGACGAGAUGCAUAAGCAACUACCUUACCGUCUUCAAUCAGGAUGUAACCCAAACCCACAUGUGACGCAUCGUUGUACACUACGAAGUCCUUACUAGGUCAGGUUGUACCAGAACUGGAGCCUGAGUUAACACGGUUUUGAGCUUCUCAAAGCUCUUCUACUGUGCAUUAGUCCAAACAAAAGAAACUCCCUUAUGCAGUAACUUAGUCAAUGGGGCAACGAUCAAAGAAAACCCUUCUACAAAACGUCGAUAAUAUCCUGUCAGUCCCAGAAAACAAUGGAUCUCAGACAUAUUCUUCGACUGUUUCCAAUCCAAUACAGCCUCAAUCUUAUGAGGAUCAACACGAAUCCCCUCAGCAAACACCACAUGUCCCAAAAAGGUUACUUCCUGAAGCCAAAACUCACACUUAGAGAACUUCACAUAGAGCUGUUUCUCACGAAGGAUUUGCAGAACAACCCUGAGAUGCUCAUCAUGCUCGUCCUCAGACUUAGAAUAGUAGGCCCAACUCUCACGGGCCCGUCAAAUCUGGCAUUUUUCUUAAGCCUCACCGCAGUAUUCGAAGGCUCUACAUCCCUCUUAGCCUUCCCUCGGUCACAGUUCUAACACUCAGUGCGCUUAACCUCUUCGACUAUCUUGGCCUUCUCGACCAAGGCGGAGAAAUCUCGCUACCUCUAUGGAGCUAUCAGAACCCGCAAACUAUCACGGAGACCAUCCUCAAAUCGGACACAGCGCUCAUACUCGGUCGCUACCAUGCCCUUCGCAUAACAGCUCAAUCUAAUGAACUCAGCCUCGUACUCAGCCACUGAACGGUCACCUUGAUUAAGAUUUAAGAACUCACGUCACCUAGCAUCAGUGUAGCUGGCUCCCACGUACUUACCCUGAUAAGUGGUCUUAAACAGAUCCCAAGUCAGUUAAUCGGGCUGAGUGCCCUCCUUAACGGUUAGCCACCACUGAUACUCCUCAUCUUGCAGCAAUGACACAGCCCCUUUGAGCUUCUGUUCAUAAGAAAAGUCCAGAUCGUCCAUGAUACGCUCCGUGGCCUCCAUCUAGUACUCGGCCACACUCGGAGCAACCCUAGCAAUGCCGCUGAAUAUCUCAGCCCCAUUCGAUCGGAGUCAUUCCGUAAUAGACACAUAGCCUACAAACCCAGUAUUAGCCCCAGCAACCCUCUCCAGAAUUCACAGCAUGGCCUGGGACAGUGCGUCGUCCCCAGCUGCACAGUUCUGAGACUCAGCACCAGUCUCAGUAACAGGUGACACCGGCAUCUCUCUAGUGUCCAGAUUAGGGAUCGCAUCAGAUGCGAAGUACUCAGCUCGAAUCCCUUUACGGCCUCUACCUCGGCCUCUAAUACCCGUCCACGUGUAUCACGUGUACUUAUCGUAACUAUCGAAUUAAUCUGUAUGUAGAAUUUUUAUGCACAUCAGUUUACAGUUUCUAUAAUUAUUAGUAGAUAUCUUAUGCAAUAAAGUAAUAAAGUUUCAGAGUCAGUUAUCGCGAGAAGCAAUCUCACUACAGUUUCAGUCCACACUACCUAUAGUGUUUCAGUAAAGUACUACCUACAGUAGUCGCAUAACACACACAGUAUUUCAGACAAAGUCAGACAACAUUUCAGGAUUAACAUGCUGUCAGACAGUACAUAUCAGAAUUUAAGAGAACUUACAGGAUCAAUGCUGAAGGCUCGGUGUACCACAUACUUGUCAUCAAAAUUAUUUCAAAUCAUUUUACAAAUUAUUUUAAAAAAACCAAAAUUUUUUUGAACCCCAAAUACACAGCCGAGUUUUGCAACCUGACUCUGAUACCACUAAAUGUAACAUCUUAAAUUCGGCCUAGAUGUUAUGGUAGAAUCUAGUGAAGUCACAUGAGAAUUUAUUCAAAAUUAAAUUUACUCUAAACCAUUCUUAUCUUUCACUUAACUCAGAAAACGUGUACUGUCUUAUUUAUUUGCUUGAAACCAUUUCUUAAUAAGCGGAACUUAAAAACAAAUAAAAUUAUCGUUAUGCGUUGCAGUUUCAAAAUCCAUAAACAGUAGUUCAAAAUCCCAAGUUAAAACCAAAAAGUUCAAUUUCAGAAAUUACAUAAAAGCCCUCAAAUAUACCAGUUAAAAUGGUAAAUUCAACUAAACCUUAAAACUAGAGUAUAUAUGGCGGUGGUCACCGUCAAGCCCUCCUCUAAACCGAUCCAUCUACUAUUGGGGAUUACCUAACAAAUAAAAUAAUAAAUGAGUGAGUUUUCACAAACUCAGUAUAUACGUCCCCCCACAGUAAAGCAUGCAUGUAAACAGAUAACAGUCAAGCGGUCAUAAAUCAAGCCUGAGCUCCUAGCAUAAUCAGUGUAAACUCUAGCCCACUCAGAGCAGUAUCAGAUACAUUCGGGCCUUAGCCUAUAUAGAUAUACAUGCAUAUCAAGCAGUACUGUGCAUGCCCACCAACCCCGCACACCAUCUCUGUCCACCCCUACACACUAUGUGAGGAUAAAAUCAACUCACCCAGCCCUACACACCAAGUAUGGGGAUAAAUCAACCCAUCCAACCCUACACACCAUAAGGUACCGUAUAACGGCACAAAUCGAUAACUACAGCGAAGCUGCCAGAUAAGCGGCUAAAGAGCCUUUCAGUCUUUCUUCUCUUCAAUAUCAAACCCAACCCAAUGAAAUCCAACAUAAAUAAUGUCAUGGCAUGCUUUCAACAGUAAAGAGAUUGUACGUACUAUACUCAGAUCAGAUCAAUAUUUAUACACAUGCUAAGUAUAACAUGCUACCAUACAUCUCAAUAUCAUGUCACAGAACAAGGCCUAAGUAACACUUACCGACCCCUUUAACAUGUCACAGUCGACUAGGGCGACCGGUGCAACCUUUCAAAAAAAUAAGAUUACUGAGCUCACACGCCUAUGUGGCCUGCUCGUGUGAGCCCACAAGCCCGUGUGGCUCACACAACCUAAAUUGGCCUUGCCCGUAUGGAUUACACGACCAGGUCCAGAUUCUCAUACGCUCGUGUGGUUCACCCUUAUGAGCCCACAUGGCCUAAUUGGUCUAGCCCAUGCCUCGACACGGUCUAGCCAAGCUCACACAUCCGUGUUCGUCGUGCCCGUAUGGCACGCACACGGCUUGACUCGUCAAUCACACAGUCGUGUAUCACCAUACGGCCUCUACACGGGAAGUCUACACUCCCGUAGGGCAUCGACAGUUUUAGUUUUAGCUUUUGUCAAAACUUAUUUUAUGUGUAAUCGAAGAACACACCUAUUUUCGAUUGAAGCCUAAUACAAUCUCGAACACUCUAGAACCUUUAAUGAAUAACGGCGAUUACUCGCUAUUCAGAACCCCGAUUAGUGAUCCACAGAACCUUCAUUGCCCCCCAAACAAUAAAUUAAAUCCCUCUUAAAUGAUCUCCAAAAGAAACCACACAAUUUAACAAAACCAUACUUACUAAAUUGACGGAACCACUUGCAGCACUUCAAAACUAAUCGAAAGAAAGAAAAACGAGCAGAGGGGUAAAAGAAAUAAAAUUUCGACAGCAAAGGGUUUGGGAAAAGAAGAAAACGACAAAGAGAGAAAAAAGAAAAAAGAGAACAAGUUAGGCAAACACCUGAUAAACCCUACCUCCCCCUUUAGUGUUUUAGUCUAACUCAAACGUCCGCACGGCUUAUCAGCAAAAUAAUGCCACACUCACGACUUAAACUCAGGACCUCAAACAUAAUCCCUUGCCACUUAACCACUAGACCAGCAAACCCAUUCUAUUAAAUUCCUACCAAUAUAUUCUUAUAAGCCCAUCAACCAAAAGUCAAGCUUAAGUUAAAUAAAAACCAAAACUUAACCCAAGUUAAGGCUCGAACUUGGGUCCUCCCAAACACAUCCUAGAGCACAUAACCUCUUAAACCACAUAUAUUUUAUACCAAAAUGAUUCAAAAACAAGUCUCGAUAUUUCCAAGCUCAACAAUCUCAAAAGUCAAAAUUACAGAAAUUUAGGGCGUUACAGCCUAUUAACCGAAUAUGGAUUCAACUACGAAUACACGAACGAGACCCCCUAACAUUCCAUAAUAACACCACAAGUACCAAUGAGCGUGAAUACUCAAAACAUGAGAACAUGUUUGCUCCUACCACUUGUAACACCCCCAAUCCUGUGGGUCGAUUGGCGAAUGAUGAUGUUACAUAAAGAAUGAAAUCAUCACACAAAUCAAACACAUGAUGUUUCACUGAUUAAACCAUUGAAAAUAUAAAUGUAAACAUUUUUUAACUCUGCUUAGCGGGUUAUGGUAUUUAUGACACAUAAAAAAGGAAAAAUAAGAGUGCGCCAAAAACAUACACAAUAAAAAGGUUUAAAUUUUUGGCAAGGUGUUGUAAACGAUCAGUUUAUACGAAGUAUUAUCUGUAGGUAUAAACCAAUUUCACUAUUUACAAUUUUAAAUAAAGAGUUUGGAACCACAAGCCACCCUGAUAUACAUAUAUUAUAAAAAAAAAAAACUGGUGAUUCACAAUUGAGUUCGCCUCCUAGUUGAAUCCCUUCGCCCCAAUGCCAAAAAUACUUGAAAAUUGGAUAAAAAAAACUAAGUAAGUUAAAAAAGAACUUAGCGAGUACCAAGAAUAAACAAAACCAUUUCAACUAAAAGUUCUUGGGAUAAUAAGAAUUUUUGGACAUCUCAGGCGUACGAGGUCACAAAUAAUCAUACAAACCUAUGUAUAACACUGUUACCCCGUCCAAGCUUGCAGACAUGGCACGCCAAAGGGUAUUAAAAUGAAUAUCCAUCAUUAGGAGCAAUAAUACUCAUAUGUGAAUACGACUCAUAACCAAGUGUAACUCAUUGGCGGAUAAAACUGCGUCUACAUACAAUUCACAAGCAAACACAUGUUUGAGUAAGUUUAGUGCAUGGGCGAGUAUUAUCCACGUUAAGUACAUUUUCCAGUAAGUGUAAUUCACUAUCGUUUAUUAAUAUAUUCGGGUACAAUUCACAUGUAGUAUUUUUAUAGACAUUUAUACACCCUUCCUUGUUCUAGCUCUGGAUCCUUUCAACGCUCCAAAAGACUAAAAUUCCUGUUUCACGAUAUUGCUCUGUAGAGCCAAUGUUCGUUUAUACCAACCGAACCUUCGUAAAGCUUCUUUUUUAAUUUGAACACAGACAUGUUCCCCCGUAAGGCCAGAGUCAUUCACCAAUCUCGAUUUGCAUUCACAUGCCCUACCGAAGCCAAAAACGUACAACAUAUCAUAUUCUCCAUUUACUCCUCCUAUCACAUUACAUUUCAACAGACCUCUAUUACCCCAUUUUCCACCUUUUCGAAUAUUAAGCUUGUACGCCAAGGAAAGAGUGUCCAUUUCAAUUAUUCAUACAUAUUUAUUUUGGUUUCGUAUUUACAAUUUGUUAAUAGAAGAAUGCACAUGUAAUUUCUUAUAUAAUACUAAUUUUACCUUGUAACGGCCCGAAAAUCAGUGGUGUCAGGAAUAGUGAUUUUGGAACCUCAUUCACCACUGAUUAAGUUCAUAAAUAUUAGUUAUAAUAUUAUUUUUAAUUUUGGUCUGACAAGUUUGUUAAUUGGAUAGCUAGUUAGGGUACAAGUGUAACAACCCAAUUUUAAUGGGACUAAAAAUGGCAGUUUCGGAACCCUGUAAUCAGAUAAUUGAAUCUAUAAAUAUAACAAUAUUUACGAGUCUAUCAUUAAAUUAAAUUUAUUUUAGAUCUGAUAAAAUAUCUAAUUAGAAAAUUAGUUGAAUACAAGUGGUUUGCCCCUAAAGUCAAUAGUUUUGGAAAAUGUUAAAUAUAAAUUUGGUACCUGAACUUUUCCACUUCUCCCAAAUUGGCACUUCAGGUUUUUCCUGUCCAAGAUUGAUAUAUAAACAUUUUUUUUCCAUUAACUAGUUUGAUACUUUUUUUAACACACUUAAGUCUGAGACAGGGGGCGGUACCAGACAACGACACAUGUUAUUAGUGACAUUAUGUUGAUGUCAUCAUCUACAAAUAAAAUUUAAAAUAAUUAAUAAAUUUAAAAAUGUAUAAGAAAAUACUAAAAAUAUAAUGCUCGUUUCUUUUCUUUCUCUGACUUAUUUUCUUUCAUUUCCCCAAUUUCUCCCAAUCCUCUUCUUUUCUCCUUCCUCUCUCAACCCUAGCCAGCACCUAGCCUACGCCACCAUGAUUGGUCAUUUUCCUAGCCCGAAGUAGCACCUAUUUGUUUCUCUCCAUUCCCUCUUUUGAUUGCUUUAAUUAGGUUUCUUGGAGAAUUUCCCAAAAGCCACAAUAAUACAUUCAACUUGUUAACUUCUCUAAAGCUGAUAUGAAGAAAUGACCAUUGAACUAUCUUAUAAGUUCAACCACAGGUUUUCCUUGGUAUGAUGAACUUCUUCACCGCUCAGAUAUCUAAAAUGGGUUUCACCGUUCAGAUCUCUCAAAUGCGUUGGUUGUUACAGUCAUGGUGGUUGAUAUUUGGCCCUUUCCCAAAUCAUUUUUUGCAACCAUAGGGUUUGAGGGUCUUGGUAUUAUAAAGGAUUGAAGGGUUGGUUGUUGGGGUUAGGAGUCGAUGGUCACGAGCACUAGCUUUCUUGGCUUGGGGGAAUAUUUACGUAAGUUACCCACUAAUGUAAUUCAAUGUUUCAUGCGUCAAAGGUCAACCAGUCGUCUCUUAAAGCCCGUUAUUGAGACAUUCUUUCUUAGUCCCUUUGCCUUCUCCUUUUCAAUACCACCUCUUAUUUCCCUUUAGAUGUCACUUGCUCUAUCAAAUCAAAGAGCAACUAUUCACCAUUAAGAAAGACAAUAAGCUAAGGAAAGGAAGAAUGCUAAUAAAAUUUUUGUAGAGUUGUGUUUUUUUUCACAAUUUUAAAUUUGAGUUUUUGUUCGAUUUUGUUUCUUGAUAUUCAAAUUGUUUUUGUUGAAUAUCCAUUUCAAGUAUUCAUUUAAUUUUUUAUUUGUUUGCAUGUCUGUUUGUUAUCUUGAAUCAAGGGUUAUUGAUGAAUUUUUUUUUAAAAUUUUUCUUCGAACUUAUUUGCAAAAUCUCAUAAAUUCUGAGAACAUACUCUCCUUUAACGUGAAAAAGAAACCCUCAGUGGAAAUAAAAUUAAUAAAAACCCAAGUUGAACACAUCCAACUAAAAUAGAAACCAAAUAAUAAAAGCUCUAAGAAAGAUUUUUUUUUUCCAAAAAAUCUGAGAUAUUCAAAAAUAGACAAAGAAUUGAAGCAGUGGAUAGAAAGAAAAUGCAAGCAAAGGGAAAUGGAACAAAUUUAUGGAGAUAUUCGGAAAAUUUAAGAAAGAAUUUUUUUAAAUUUAUCACUUUUUAUUUUUUAGAUUUUUAAUUUUUUAAAAAUAAAUUAUGAUUUUUAUUUUUUUAUUUUUUAAUUAUGACAUCAUAACAAUGUCAUUAAUGACAGUUGUUGUCUAGUAUUGGCAUUUGUCCCAGACUUAACGGUGUUAAAAAAAAGUACCAAACUAGUUGACGGGAAAAAAAUUUGGGUACCAAUCUAAGACAAAAAAAAAUAAGUACCAAUCUAGGAGAACUAGACAAAAUCAUGUACCAAUUUUAUAUUUCACCUUUUUGGAAAAUGAGAAAUCGAGACCUCAUUUCCGUAAACUAAGCUCUUAAAUAUUUUUAUUAAAUAUUUAUGAAGUUUUUAUAUAGGUAAAUUAAAUUUUGGUCCAAAAAUUUUAGUGAUUGGAUGGUUAAUUAGGGUACAAAGACUAAAUCGUAAAAAUAAUAAAAAUUAAUCACUAUUAAUUUUUAUUAAUUAAAAUGACUAAAAAAUAAUUAAUCAAAGUUUAAAGUGACAAUAAUUCCAAUAUGAAUGCUAGUGGAAGGUUAAGUGAUGUUUAGGUUGUGAUUAAUGUUAAAAUUAUUUUAAUUAUAUUGCUAUAAAAAUUGAUAAAGGAUAAAAUAACAAAACAAAGUUAUCAUCACCAUCAUUUUUACUUCUUUCAUCGAAACCACAAAGAGAACAACCAAGGAGCCAUUGUUUUCGCUUCAAGUUCUUUCGGCCAUUGUAUGGUAAUAUUUUCAAAGUCAGUUUUUAGUAAAUUUUAUGUUUUUGAUAUCGUUGUAACUCAAUCUAGCUAACUUGUGCCUUAUUUCUCAAAACUAUUAAUGUUUCAAAAUAUUGUCAUUGUUUUUUCUUGAAGCUUUUAAUGUUAAAUGGUUGAUUGUUAACCCUAGAAAUGAAAAAAUGUCUAUUUUGAAAUUGAUGUUUUUGUCAAAAGGACUAAAGUGUAAAUAUUUUAAAAUUUGGUAUAAAAUUUCUAUAAUUAUUGAUAAUAGAGGGGUUUAGAAGGAUGAAAUUGAGACCACUUUAAAAAUCAAAGCUCAAAUUUGAAAGAUAUAGCUAUGUCGGUUUUAGGGACUAAAUUGAAUAAAAUUAAAAACUUUAGGGGAGUUUUAAAAAUGAAAUUGAAUUAAUAUUUGACUACAAUGGGUUGUUUUAAGAUGUUUGGAAUUGAUAAACUGAAAUGAAUUGUUAAAUAGAUUGAGAUUUGAGCUAAUUGGAAGAUAAUCGAGAAAAAUAAGAAAUUGCAAAUUAGACAUUAAUUGCUUGUUGUUUUUCUAGGUAAGUUCAUAUGGAACUUAUUUUAUUAAUUGAUGAUAUAUUUGUAUUAUAUUGUUUUGCUUUAUAGUUGAAUUGUUAUUAUAUAACAUUUUUGGCAUAAAAGGAUUAAAUAGAAAAAUAUGAAAUAUAUAAUAGAUAUGAACAAAUAUAUAGUAUCGAGUGGUUAUGUUGUGAGACUGUAUUAGUACAAAUUAUACUUGUAGCCGUUAAUAUGGUUAUGAAAUAUUUAUAUGUGAAAUAGAUAUUAACAAGAUAGCAAUUGACUAAUAAUAUGAAGUAAAUACUAUGGAAUUAAAUGGAUUAUAAAUGGUUGAGUGUUAUAUAAUAUAGGUUAGAUUUGUAUAAAUUGAAUUGGUAUAAUUUGGGUACCAUAUUGAGGUACAAUGGUUUAGUUGAAUGGAAAUUUGUGGAUGUUGAGCCUGAUUAUGAAAUUGAUAUGUAUAUAGUGAUAUUACAUAGUUUAAAUGUAUAUGUAUAGCUUGGAGCUUACGAUUUAUAACUCCAUAAAUUAAUUCAUUUAAAUUUAUGUAUACUUUCAUUGCUUAGCAUGAUCAAAGGUUAAAUUAAGUUGAGAAUAACUGAUAGAAUCAAGUUAUUGUGAAAUAUUGAUUCUCAUUAUGAAGGACUAACGUGUAUAGAAAGGAAAAUAGUGUAUUUUGAUGCAAAUCUGGAAUUAACUUUGUAUUGGAUUGAAAAAUGUUAUGUUAUUAGAUGAAUUGUUGAAUUGAGUUAUGAAUUUUGGUUGUUGGGAUAUAAAUGAAAUUCUAUGGAAAUUUCACAAAUUAGUAAAUAUGCAAGUAAUGCCUUGGUUUAUUCGAGGAGGCACUAAGUAACCAAAAAAUAUAAUUGGCACUAAGUGCCAAUUAUAUUUUUUGGUUUAACCGAUGAGGCACUGGAUGUCAAUUAAAUUGAUGAGUGCUAGAGUGCAAUUAGAUUAGUUCGGCUUGUCUGAUGAGAAAAUGGGUGCUAGAGGUAUCGAUGAGCGUCAGGUGUAAAUUAUUUACUUCGAAAGACUGGAAAGGAAUUUGAAGUAUGGCAUGCUAUUACAGUAUAAAUAAUACAUUUAAUAUAAUGUUAUGUUUUAAUAAAACCUUGAAAGUUCUCUUAAAACCUUCUUGUACUGAUGUUGCUUAUAGUGAAGUCUUUGUGUGGAUUACUCAACGUUCAGUUGUUUCCAUGCACAUGUUAAAUUAAGUACAUGAUCCUAUACUUUGACUUCAGAAUCCAAUGAAAAUACUAUGCUCAAUAAUGAUGGUGAAAUUCCUUGUUAGUUAACUGACAUAUACCUAGGGGUGUCAUUUUGUAUCUUGUAUAUGUUUUAUUUUGGUUGAUCACAAGUUGAACUUAUAUGGUGUUUAAAUUUGAAUGUCUAUAUAGCAUGUAUAUAAGUAUGAAUGAUGCCAAUAUGGUAAUCUAUGACUGAAGCUUUUGGAUGACCAAUUUUGAUUGUGGAUAAUGGAAUUAAGGUGAUUGGGGAUGAUAUGGUUGUUUUGAUAUAAAAAUGCGACGUUAAUACAUGUUAUAAUGUUUGUUUGAAUAACUUAUAAUAGUUUAUAUUACUUUGUAGUGUAUUGGUUUCAAUGAGGCAUAUUGUUUAGAUGUUUAGGAUUAUGAAUUAGGAUAUGUUUGGCAUGGUUUAAGAAUGCUUGGAAUAGGUUUAAAAAUGGUGAAAUGCAUAUGUUUGAUCUAAUCGUAAAGUUGAAUUGAAAACUUCCACAAAAAGGCACAUUUAGGUUCCACAUGGGCUAGUGACACGGCCGUGUGAUCAUUGGAAUGUAGGAAAUUUUUAAUCCACACGGGCACAGUAAGGUAUAUGGCCUAGAAGUAUAGUUGUGUGAACCUUUUUGCAAAAUUUUCCUUCUUUUUGAAAAAAAAUUAGUUUGACCCUUAUUUGUUCUCGGGUCAACUUAAGAGCUCUUAUAGGCUCGUUUAAGACUCGUUUUAGUUUGUAAAUCAUAUUUUGCAUGGUCUAUAAAGUAUUUUUUGUUUAAUUGGAUAUUUGAGCCUAAAUUGAAUGUGACUUGCUUCGAUGAUUGUAGUAACAUUUCGCAGCUCGAGUCUGACAACCGGACCAAGUAAGGGGUGUUUCAUACAACAUUAAUUUUAAGCUAGUUCAUUAUUUAGCAAAAGAAAAAGUGAAAGGAACUUACCAGAAACUCCUAGGAAAGCUUUAUCUACUUAAUGGGUUCUAUCUCCUUCUUAUAGGGGCCUACUCCCGCUUCUUUAGCUAAACACAAUCAAACAUUUCUAUUAAAUACAAAAACGACUGAGACUAUUAUGUAAAAAAUAAGAAUUGAUAACAUGCAACAAUUUAACUAGAGGAAACUUUCCUUCCUUCCAAAACUUCUAGUAAAAAUAUAUGUAUACAACUUCUACCACGCUUACAUUUCCUAAUACUCAAACUAAAGAAGGACUUAAUAAAUUAUUAGUGGUUGGCUUUAAAGGUCGGUUGGUUGAUCAAUAAAUCUUUGGAUGAUGUAUUUCUUUCUAAAUUCAACUUGAAAGAACUCCCAAGUAACUCUUUCUCGUGGAACUACGGAUAUCAAGGUAUUUCACCACUGAUACGUAGUGUCUCCUAAUAGUGAUACAACACACUUUAAGCAUUCUUCAGGAGUGCAAGAUAAUUCAUCGAAUACCCAAAUCAUGUUCUCAAGCCAAAAGUUAGCUUUCUCAGGAUCAUCAUUAACAGUGGCUCUGAAUUCCUCGGCUCUGUGUUUUCGUAUAUUAUAGACAAGUGGUUUAUUCAAUCAAAAAGGAUCAAUACCUUGAGGAACUACAAAGAUUGGUUGGGGAACAGGUGGGGGUGGAGGUGGUUGAAUAGCCAAGUUCGUACGAAAGUACUGUAUGAACCACUCGUUCAAUAUCUGAAAGAAGGCUUCUUUAGCCUCACCGCCGUGACUACUCGUCACGAAUCUAGAUUCAAAAGGUGUUGUCCCUUGAGCGAAAGCUGGCGCGUUACUUUCUACAUCAUCCUUUACAACUCGUUUGGGAUCCAUUACUAUAUGAAAACACAUUUGAAAAUGUCAAAAGUCAUCACACUAUCAUAGUUUUAUAUAUAGCAUGUAUAGCUAUACUCACAUACGCUACGUUAGUCCUAAAAUUGACUAAAUCGUAGCUCUAAUACCAACAAUUGUAACACAUCUAUCCCAAAAUCAUCGUCGGAAUAGGUUAAGAGGCAUUACAGGACUUGUAACUCAGUUCAAAACAAUCAUUUAUCAAAUAUCAUCUCAUUUCAAUAAAUAUCAUUCAUUCACAUUCAAUAUGUACUUAAAUCGAGCAUACAAAGCUUAAAUCAUACAUUCGAGACUAAAUUGGUAACAUAUGAAAAUUUUGGAAACUUAGAAAAUUUUUAACAUUUCAAGUAUCACACCCCGUGUGAACGGGCCGUGUGCCUCACACGGUUAGUAGACACGCCUGUGUCUUAGACCGUGUGGAAACAGGGCAUAUAUACUGACCUGUGUCACACAACCGAGGACACCUCCUUAUGCCAAACCGUAUGAAAACUAGAGAGUAUACUGACUUGGGUCACACAGCCAACCACAGACCCAUGUGUCUAGCCCGUGUGCCCUUCAAAAUGGCCACACACGCCUAUGGAUCAGGCCGUGCCAAAACUAUAGGGUAUACUGAGUUAUCAAUAUGGCCAAGUCACACGCCCGUGUGCCAUUUAGGAGGGUAUACUGACUUGUACCACACUGUCGGUCACACACCCGUGUGUGAGGCCGUGUGGAGCAUACUGACUUCAAUUCCAUUUUAACACCAAGAGACACAUGACCGUGUGUCACACAUGGCUGAGACACACGCCCGUGUCCCUACUCGUGUGUACAAAUAUAGGCUAUUUGCAAAGCCAUUUGCCACCCUAUACACAAAAGCAUUCACAAGCAUAAAUGACCACAUUCCAUAACCCAAUUGACAAUCAUUCCAUAACAUUUCAUACACAUAAUAUACCAAUUCAAUUGAGUAUUAAAUUACCUAGUAAAUAUCCUGCAUAAUCCAUUCAUAUAUCAACUACAUAAUAAGACAUCUUUUGCACAUUUUCAUUCCAUCAAUUCCUUGCCCAAAACAUACCAUAAUUGCAAACUUAUACACAACCAAAACAUAGUACCAAAAUAAGCCAAAUCACAUGGCUUAACUUAUACACAAAAACAUACCAAAAUCAUAAUAUCAAGUAACAUAACUAGAGGUGAUCAUGGGUCGGGCCGGGCCGGGCCGGGCCGGGCCCAAAAAAUAGGCUUAAAAUUUUGCCCAAGCCUGACCCAAAUAAAAAUACUAAAACCCGGGCCCGGCCAGCCCAGCCGUAUUUAUUUUUAUAUUAUUUUAUAUUAUUUUUAAAUAUAUAUAAUACAUCAAAAAUACUAAAAAAAUCAAAAUAAAUAUUUUCCAACAAAUUGAAAAUAAAUUUUAAAAAAUAUGUAGACUUAAAUAACACUAAGAUAGAUGCAACUUAACAAGCAAAAACUUCUAAAAUAAUAAUAAAAUUAACAAAUGCCUUUAAAUAAUAACAAAAUUAAUAAUAAAAUAAGUUUUAUACAAUAUCCAAAUAAUAAAAACAACAAAAUAGGAGCAACUAAUAGUAAUAUGGUAGCAAAAUAGGGAGAAAACAAUAAGAAAAUAACAUUCAAAAAUAAAAAAAAUAGCAGAAUUUUUUUGUCAUUUAGUGAAUUCGGGCCGGGCUCGGGCCAAAAAUACCUUACCCGAGGCCCGGCCCAUUUUUUAGACGAGGCUCAUUUUUUUGUCCAAGCCCAUUUUUCGGGCCUAUAUUUUUGCCCAAACCCUCCCACAUUUCGGACGGGCCUUCGGGCCGGGUAGCCCGACCCAUGAGCAGGUCUAAACAUAACUAACAUCUUUUAAACUAGCCUAUACAUGCCAUAUUUACAUAUAUCCACAAGCUCAAAAGUACUAAUCGAAAAAUGGAUAGUGUGAUGUGCAACUCCGACUUGUCCGAAACGAGCAAGCUUGUAACAGUCCGGUUUAGACGCUAGUCGGAAUAGUGGUUUUGGGACCACAUAUCCGAGUCAGAAAAAUAUUUAAAUAUUAUUUUUCAUGUUUAUGAUAUGUAAAUGAGCAUGUGUGAAAGUCUCCUAUGAAAAUUUGAAUGUUUGUAUGCUUAAUUUUGAAAAAGACCUAAUCGCGUAAAAUGUAAAAGUUGCAUGCUAUUUGUUUAAAGUACUUAUUUUAUUUGGCUUUAUGAUUGUGAGGUCCUUAUGAUGUUAUUUAACCAUUGCAUGAAUUAAAUGACGUAAAAGGGCAUUAGUUGGUGGAAUUUUAAUGAAUUAUAAUAAGGUUAAAUUUGUAAAAAGCAUAUUAAUGCUAUAUUAGUUAAAACCAAAGUUAAAAAUCAUCUUAUUUCUAUCAUCCUUGGUAAAAAUACAAGAAAAAUAAAAGAGAAAUGAAUAGCUAGGGUUUGACACUUGCAAGCUUUGAUUUAGGUAUGUUUUUUGUUUCGGUUUUUAAUAAUUUCUAUGUUUUGUAAUCGUUGCUUCGUAUACUAUUGAGCUCAUGCCUCAAUUUCUGAUUUUUAUGAUAAUUUUGAAAUGUGCCAUGGAUGAAUUCAUGAGCUUUAUGUUGUUAUAUGAUGAAAUAUGAAAUUUUGAUGUUGGGUUUGUAUGUUCUGUCCUUAGAUUUUUGAUGAUUUUGAGUAAAAUGGGCUAAAUUGUGAAAUUUGUAAAUUUAUAGACUAAAAUGUAAAAUAAAUGAAAUGUGUGGACUUGAAUAAGAUCUAUGAAUAUUCGGUCAAGCAUGAGUAUAUGCAAAUUAUGUUUAUUUUGUGAUUUUGUGAAUUAGGGACUAAAGUGUUAAAAUAUGAAAAUGUGAGGGUUAGUUUGCAAAUUUCCCUAAAUAUGUGUCUAUGGAUUGUUUUGAACGAAUUUUUGAUUUAAUAAGUUAAAUUUAAAUUGAUUUAGAUCAAGAAUUAAAGAAAACGGAGUUAGAUCAGGGAAAGUCGAAAGUUGUCGAGUAACUAAUUUUAUUCAUCCGAAUUCGUACGAAGUAAGUCGAUAUAGAAAUAAACGUGUUUAAAUUGAAUUCUUAUGAUUCAUAUGAUAUUGAAUUGUGAAAAUGAAUGUUUGAGCUAGUUAUGUGCUAUUCGAGAAAGUAUCUACAAAGUCUGACAUCUGAAUAGUCCUGUACAAACCUUAGGAAUAGUUAGGAUACAUAUGUCAUGACAUAGGAAUUUUGAUAUAUGUUCUACGUGUAAGACCACGUCUGAGACAUUUGCAUCAAUUUCUAUUUUGCGUGUAAGACCAUGUUUGGGACAUUGGCAUCGUAUCUGAUUUCGUGUAAGACCCUGUCUGGGAUAGUGGUAUCGAUAUUUGAUUACAUGUAAAACCACGUAUGGGACGUUGGCAUUGUAUAUGUUUUCUGAUCUAUCUGCGUAUCCUUACGUUUCCAAAUGGUUCAAAUGGGCAUUCCCAGAAAAUGAAUGACUUCGUGAAAUUUUAUUCGAUUCAGGUACGUUCGAAUUGUGUACUAUAUUUGAAAGAAAAAAGGUAAGUAUAUGUGCAUGAACUAUGAUUUAAGUCUAUGAAUAUGAGAUUUGUAUCGGCAUUUGACUACAAAGUAUAAAUGAUUUGAUGAUGUUUAUAUGCUUUAAAUGAUAUGUUUAUUUGUAUAUGGCUUACUAAGCUUUUGAAAGCUUACUUUGUGUGUGUUUAUAUUGUUUUAUAGAUAUCGAAGCUACUGUGAGCUUGGGGAUUGACAAGGAUCGUCACCACACUAUCGAACCUUAUUUUGGUACUUUUAAAAAUGUAUAUAGUAAAGCAAGGCAUGUAUAGGCUAGAAGUAGUUUGGUUAUGUUUUGUAAUGUAUAUAUUAGGCCAUGUGAUAUGGCUAACUUAUGUUUGAAUUUGUGGUUGGAAAUGUUAUAUGAUAUGUGUGGUAUUAUGAAUUAUAUGGUAUGUUUUGAAUGACCAAAAGAAAUGGUCAAUGUUGAUAAAUUUUUUUGGUAAGUUUUGAACAUGAGAUUUAAUGAUGUAUUGAGCAUAUGUUUAGGUAUGAUGUUAGUCUAAGUUUUGGUAUGAAUUGAUUGAUCAAUUGAGAUUGGAAUUUGUUGAUUUUUUAAAGUCAUGGAUAAUAUAUGUCUGGGUAUUGAGAUUGGCUGAAAUUGGUGUACAAAUAUGUUUAGUUUGGUGCUUGUAAGUUAGACCCAAUUGGGGUGGCAAGUACGCUAUUCAUCAAAUGGCCUAUUUUUGUUCACACGGGGUCUACUUGCAAAAUUUGUGAAAAUUCAAGGACUAAUCAGCUACUUUCUCUUUUCCUCGAUUUGCUUCGGGUUCUCGAUUUGCAGUAAAAAUAUGAAAAACCAACUUAAGGAAACCCUUCUAUGGUGUUUUUGCUGAUGAGAAUGCAUAAAAAUAAAUAAAAAUCUAGAUGAUUCCACUUUAGUCCUAGCUUUAUUAAGUAAAUUUUGCAAUAUUCUAAUUUUUCCCUACGAAUUAAAUUCAGUAUACCCUCUAAUUUUGACACGGCCUAGACACACGAGCAUGUCUAUUGGUCAUGUGUGGCACACGGGUUGACACAUAAGCGUGUGGUCGGCCGUGUGGCCAAGUCAGUAGCCUCCUUAAUUUUUUACAUGGCCUGGCACACGGACAUGUCUUGUGGCCGUGUCUUGUGGCCGUGUGGAUAAGUCAGUAUGUAUGCCCUGUUUUGCCACGGCUUAGACAUACGGGCGUGUCUAAUGCCGUGUAAGGCACACGGCCUGUUCAUACGGACGUGUAACCUUUGAAAAGUUGAAAAUUUUUCUAAGUUUUGAAACUUUCAUAUGUUGUUGAUUUAGUCCUGAAUGUAUGAUUUAAACUUUGUAUGCUAUUUAAGUUCAUAUUGAUUAUGAAUGAUUUAUAAUUAUUGAAAUGAGAUGAUAUUUUAUAUAUGUUUGUUUUGAAUUGAGUUACAAGUCCGGUAAUGCCUCUUAACCUAUCCCGGCGACGGUUACGGGUUAGGGGUGUUACAGAGCUAACGAACCGCUAUAAAACAUAGAAAAAUAAACAGAGUAAGCUUUAUAGCUUAGUAAGCCCGUAUAAUUCAGAAUUAAACUUACCAUUUAUACUAAACUAAUACAAAUAACUAAGGUAAACUCCAUACAAUUUCCAAAUGCCUAUCACAAGCAUUUAUCCAUAGGUUAGACAUGUUAAUACAUGAAAUCAUCCACUAUCACAAUUCAAUACUCAAUUUAACUAGCAUUCAACAUUUCAUUCUCAAUCAUAUAACCAAUAAUUCAUUCAAUAACAGAACUCAUCUGUAUAAACAGAAUUUAUGCCCAUUGAACCUAUUAGAACUCCAAAGGAUACUCAGGUGAUAAACAUCAGUAAUCCAUCAAUUCAUUAUCAUUUAUGCUCUUUCAAGCCAUGAUCGGUUAGCUCCUCCUGAGCUGAUGAACAGUAAACUCUAUCAAGCUGAACAAUAAACUCGUACGAGCUGAAACGGUAAGCUCUAUCAAGCUGAACAGUAAGCUUAUACGAGCUGAAAUAGUAAGCUCCAAUGAGCUGAAAAUAGUAAGCUCUUACGAGUUGAUAUAUCGGUAAGCUCAUACGAGCUAUGGUGAGUCCGCAACAAAUACAGGAGCUUGACCAAAACGAUAACCCUAGUGACAUGUCACUCGUAUCCUAUGAAUUCAUACAAUUCAAAUGGGACUCGGUAACCAUUAAACUAUAUCAAUAAGGCAUCUGUAUUUCAAGUAUAUCAAUUACUCAAUCACAAACAUUCAUUUCAAAUAUUUUCAAAUAUAUAAAAGUUCGAUUCUAAUUAUACGAACUUACCUCGUAUUGCUCAGAUAAAAACUAUCGGCUAUUUGUUGAUCUUUCUUUUUCCCCCAUCUAAAUUCGAUCCCAGCUUAUCUUGAUCUAUAUAUUAUCAAAUUCAGUACAUUCAGCAUUCAAUCUAUUCAAUUUAGUUAAUAAUUCAUAUUUUGGAAAAUUUACACAUUUGCCCCUAUACUUUUCAAUUUUUACAAUUUAGUCCUUAUCACAUAAAAUUGCAAAUUCAUGCAAUUUAGUACCUACCCAUGCCUAUCCAAAUUUUAUAGGGACUCCUAGCAGCCCAUAUCUCUCAUUAUUUCACACUUUUAACUACCACAUUUUAUAUUUUUACAAAUUAAUCCUUUUUAACAUUUUUAUCAAAAAUCACUUUACAAAACUAGUUUAACUAUUAACAAAUAUUCAAAAUUCAUCAUCAAACAUCAAAUAACUCAAAUAUUCAACAAUGGCACUUUACAAAAUCAUGAACAAAUUCAAAAAUUAAGGUAUGGACUAUCUAGAAUACAAUGCAACUAUCUCAAAAAUGUAAAAAUAAUCAAAAACCGAGCUCAAACCCGUAACUUAAUCAAGCCAAAUAUGUGCCAAACCCUCACUUCUUUGGCUUCUUUUUCUUUUGUUAAUCGGUUAUGAAGAAGAAAAAUGAUGACAAUAUGGCUUUUGUUUUAUGUAAUCUUUAUUUAUUUUGCAUUUUACUAAUUUAACCUUUAUUAAUACAUUAAAAACAUGUUUGAUAUAUGUCCAUACAUGUCCAUCUUCAUUAUACAUGGUCUAAUUUCAUAAUAAGGACCUUUAAUUAAAUAAGCCAUAGCCAUUAGACACAGUUAACUAAUAGCACGCAAAUUUUACACUUUAUGCGAUUACAUCCUUUUUACCGAAUUAAGCAUUUAAAUGGUAAAAUUUCUUUACGAAUUUCACAUAAUUAAUCUAUCAUGCUUUAGAUCUUAUUAAAUUAAUAAAAUAAAAUAAAUAUUUUGACUUUGGAUUUGUGGUCCCGAAACCACUGUUCCGAUUUUACCUAAAAAUAGGUUGUUACAAGAACACUUCUAAUUCUCUUCAGAGAUAAUAAAGAAAACUCCAAAAAGGAAAAUUAAAGUUUUUCCUCUUUUAUACCUCUAUUUAAAUAUAAGAUUAAGCUUUUCCCACUCUAAAUAGGGUCCCUAAUCACCUUACAUGCACACACUAUUCCACUAAUUAAGCACAACCAUCAAAACUCUUCAGGUGUCAUGCACAGUGGCACGUAAUUGGUACAUGUCCCACUUACCACGAUUUCAUAAUCGAAUGAUUAAGUUCGCAAUGAUUGAAGUCGUUGCUAGUGUGUUCGCGCAUAGAAGAACUCGCCAAAACGCAAAAGUUUGCUAAAUGUGAAAUGGGAGUCCGCAAGAUGGCAGAACACAACAAAACAAUUCACCAAAGGGUGCACAUAAAUAAAAUCGAUCUAAUAUUUGCUAAUUAAAUGGGCUCACAUACAAAUACCUACUAAAUCCACUUGGUCAACCAUCUAAAAUAUAGAUUCAAAAAUUUGGGUGUGACAACACUCCAUACUGCACACAAAUGCUAUAAAAUGAAUUCACGCACAAGCGCCCGAUAACAUGUACACAAGUGCCAAAUGCUUCCACUGAUACAUACCACAUCUUAUAAUAUGCUAACUAUACAUAAACCUUAUUUGAUAUUAUCUAAAAAGGGCUUACAUAUUAGUGCAUUACACAAUUCAUCAACCAAAAUUAGCAUAUUUUAGCAGUUAACAAAUUAAAAAUCAAACAUCAAAUUUAACCCAAUUAACUCAUGCAUCUAUUAAGUUCCACCUCAAUGUUAAUCAAUCAUGAAAAAGGCUCGUACAACAAGACAUACCACAUUUAUCAACUCGUUCAUAGCACAAAUCUAAGCCUAAUUACUUGAUAAACUUAUAUUAGCACAAAUCGAAACUUAUUAUAUAAUAUUAAUAUAAAUUUUUAUUUGAUUAUAUUUUUCAAUUUUCUAGUUAAAUUAGGGUAAAUAAUUUUUUUAAUGACACAUAUUGUUUCCUAGCUGGUUGCAAUGGUUUUCUAACGAAUGUAAUGGUGGGGACUAAAAUUGGUCUCUAAAAUAAAGUUUAGAUUCCUAUUUCAAUAAAAAAUAAUUUUAAAUACUUAACUCAAACAAAAUAUAUAAUUUAAAGACCUCCUAAGUCUAUAUAUAUCAUAAUAUUAUUUGGCAAAUGAGAUAUACAUGUGGAGAAUGGGACACUUUAUUUUUGUUGUUUUGUUUUUGAAAGUAAAGGGUCAUUAUUUAUAUACAAAAGUAGAGCCCCACAUGCUUUAACAUCUAAGUAUUUUCGUUUUGACUUAUAUAAAGUGAUUAUUAGACAUUUGUUUAAUAUAAAAUUAAACCAUGUAACCUUUUUCCUUACUUCAGUAUUCCUACUCUUUUCGAUCACAAUUGCCACCAACUCGCCCUAAUUCACUUUAUUAUGCGAGCUAAAACCCAAGGAAACUUGAACUCUUUCUGCACAUAUUUUUUUGGUUUUGCUAUCAUAAGCUCCACGCAAAUUGUAAAUCUUAAUUUUUCUAAUUAGAAUAAAAAAUUGUCCAUCACAAAAAUAUAAUUAAAAUAUAAACUCGACGUUUGGUUUAUUAGCCCACAUAUAAUAUAAAUAUAAUCCACUAUACCUCGUCAAAAAUAGACGAAUAUUAGCCGUCGGUGUCAAAUACUACCCAAAAGGCUUAUUGCUAUCCAUUAUGGUUGUGGACACGUGGUUAGUUGCUUUAUCUGAUAUUAUUAUUAAAGUAUCAGACAUGUUUUAAGUGAAAAAAUUUAAGUUGAGUUUUGAUAAAUAGAAAAUGUGUUGAUGAGCUGAUCUUUAUGUUAUCACAUAUGAUAGAUUAAUCUGAAGGAUGAAUUCACCUCUCAUAAAAGAAAAAGUGUAUUGAAGCGGACCUCUUUGGAAUAAAAUAUAAAAGUAAUUAAAUGAAAGUAUAAAAUUUGAAAAACUAGAUUUAGGAUCUCUUUUAGAUGGGCGAUGCGUUUAUUUGCGGUUAAUAUAAAAGCAAUAAUAACGGUAAGAUUAAAUACUAUAACGAUAUUAUAGUGUGAGACAAAAAGAAAAUUCACAUACCACACUAAAUAUAAACAUCCAUCCAAAAUGACUUUAAGAUUUUAGAAUUCAAUAAACAUUUUAUUCAAGUUAAACCUUCGACGAACAUUUUCUUCUUAGUCGAGAUUUUAUUAUUUUAUAUAUUUAAAUAUAAUAAUUAUAUUUAUAAACUAUAAAAGCUAACACAUUUUUUUAAUUAUAAAAUUUAGCCUAAAAUCAUAUCUUAAAAUAAACUUAAUUCUCUCCCAUUUGCUCUUCUUUAUCUUUUAUUAUUUUUAAAUUAUGCUUAAAGUUUUUAUACUCUUCAUGCAUUUAAAUUUUAAUUAGUUAUUUUUAAUUUGAGAAAUUUAAUCUCUUUACUUUUCAAAUUAAAAAAUACAAAUUCAAUUGUUAAUACGAUUAAUUUCUUUUUACUAAUUUCAGGUUCAUUAUUUUUUUCUUUUACAUAACUAUCGAGUAUUUAUUUAUUUUAAAAUGUAAUAACAAUGAAUUUAACAGAAGAAUUUAAUAAUAUUAAUAAUUAUAUUUAAAUUUUGAAAUCUAAAAACUAAAAUAAUAAAUUUUUAAAAAUAAAAAUCAAGAAAUUACUUUCUAUAUGUAUGAAAUUACAUAGAUUUGAAUUAAUCGCUUACAUUUUCACUCGUUGACUAGUCGUUUUAUUUUUGGGGGGGGGGAGAGGGGGGUCAGAUCUCUCAUUCAUCUUUCAUCCCUUUAUUCUUCAACCGUUCAUUUUUUGUACAGUGGUAUUCUGAAGGUUUAUGUUUCUUUUGUACAAAGCACAAUCUUGUUUAUUGAUUCUUUUGUAUUGUUGCACUACAGCAAAACAAGUUUUUAGCAGCGUUUUUUGGCCCUUCAGAGCUGCUAAAUUUUGCAGCAUUUAUGUGGGAAAACGCCGUUAUAGAACAUGAUAUUUAGCGGCGCUUUUUUUACAAAUGCCACUAAAUAUUGUGCUCGCUUGCAUCUAAGUCGUGCAGUCUCUUAACUUCUGAACUUCAGCUUGAGUCUGAUUCGCCGAAGGCAUGUAUUGCUGCGAGCUAGAUCCAAAAUAUUGGGUUGGACUAACAAAAAUCCUUGAAAUCGAACUCGACCAUACCUUACAAUACCCAAAACUUCAGUAAUAACUUGGUUAUCAAUGUCGUCCAGAUUAAAAGAAUUAUCACUUAAAGCCAUCGCUUCAUACUCCGCCCUUUUAUCCUUUAGUUUCUCCUAAUAAAUCAAUCAAUGAGGUAGAAACAAAAUGUAUAAUCAUGCAAAUGCAACCUAACUUGAUAUUAUUUGUAUUACAAACGACGAAUUAAACUAUUAUAAUUAAACAUGAUAAAUAUUUAAAAUAAUUCAAAUUUUAUUAAGUAAAUAUACCAUAAUUUCUGUAACUUCAGUAGUCAUAGGAGAUCCAUCUUUCUUUCUAUGUGUAAUGUCAAAAAGCUGAAGGCAUCCAACUUUUUGACCAAACGAUAGUUCCUACAAUAUAGUAGGAAAAAUAUUAUUUAGUAAAAAGUAAUUAAUAUUUGACACAAUUAAAAAAUACUUUUUGACCAAACGACAGUUCCUACAAUAUAGUAGGAAAAAUAUUAUUUAGUGAAAAGUAAUUAAUAUUUGACACAAUUAAAAAAUUCAAACUACCUCAUCAUUAGACAAGCAAAACUUUUCGACCCAGCUAUGUGUGUGAAUUUUUGUUUUUGCCUACUUGUAGUUCUAACUCGCUCACGAUCUUACAUUAUGAAAUUAUUAUUAUGUAUAUAAUGAAUACUAUAAACCGAAAUAAUUAUAAGAGUUUAGAAGUACGUAAUACCUCUCUUUUCUUUGAUGAAUUCCAAAAUCUAACUGCAUCUUUCCAUUGGUACCUUAGCAUUCCCGGUGGGACAUUUCACAAUUUCCCUUUGAGGCUUAUAUUUUUCUUAAAAUAUUCUUUUUUUAAGUGAGAAAUAUUCUGGUCAUACUAUAUUGAAAUGUGAGAAAAUCGGUAUGAUUAUAUACCUACUCGGGAACCGAUCAUCGUUCCAGAGUUAACGUGCAUACCGGAAUACAUGCCAUAGUUUAGGAUCCAUGGCAAACCAUAUUUAUUGUCAGAAUAGGAGAGGCGACGACAAAUUCGUGCCCAAAGGGAACGACGGGGCCCUUUAAAUCCAAGAAGAAGGGACGAUGAUGCAAGCCCAUCAACAGCGCCCACACAAUUACCAGGCCCAAUAGUUCAACCGACGACACCCACAUCACAGCCUUUUCAGAUUAUGUCAGGUGCGUAUUCUAACCCUUAUAUGUAUCCUAACCCUUAUAUGUUUCCUUUUCUUAGUCUUAUGGCAGGUUAGAAUCCAUGGCCCGAUUUAUCUCCGUUCUCGAUUACUCCGAGUCAACCGUCGAUUUCUAGGUCGCCAUCACACAAAGGAUCGCAUAAGGCACCAUCGGGGAGCUCUUCUUUCUACCAAUCCCCAUCACCUUACGGGAUUCAAACACCUCCGCCAUGGGUGAUGCAAACACCGCCACAAUCAUUAUUCUAUCAAGGUGGGUUACCCUCUCAGCAUCCACAACCAAAUCCCCUGCCGAAGGAACCACAACCCCCGCCGGAAGCUGAUCAAAGGAGGAAUCCAGCAUGGAACCCGUCGACGACCCCCAUGUGGCACUGAUUCCGACCGCCACGGACAUUGAUUUUUUUUUAAUAUAUUUGUACAAACUUUUUUAUAUUGUUUCAUUUAAUAAAAUAAAAGUUCUUUUGAAAAAGACAAUUGUAAUACAACAUAGUUUCAUUUAAUAAAAUAUAAAUAAUACAACAUAAUUUUUUACGACAACUAUCAACUAUUUCGAUUUGGACAUUAUCUACUUGUAUGGCUUGGGUUCUUACACCAUCCACACAACUUAUGUUGAUUGGUUGUUUCUUGGGUAUCUAUAUUGGUACGUAUUCUAGUCGAGCAAGGUCGACCCUUUGGUUUGCGAUGCAAUUCUCUAUCCGGUAACAGCUUAAACAGAGCAAGCGAUACAGGCGGCCACUUACGCUCAUUUGGGACAGGUGGGAAUACGUGUCUCCAUACGUUGUACAUGGUUUCUAGUUUGUACACUUCGUCGACGUAGCUCAUGGGAUCUAGAUGGAGAUUCUGACAAGCUGCAAUUACAUAAGCGCAUGGAUAACGAAGUGCGACAAACCUCCCACAGUCGCAAGUUAUAUUUCUCAAGUGUACACGAUAUUGCCUUCCAAUAAUACCUUCGUGCGGCCUAUCAAACUUGGUCACAUGAAACCAUAGGUUGUCUCGAUCGUGACAAACUGUGUCCAUGGUGUUCGCCCGCUCAUUCGCCUUGUUAAUUUCUUGCAAUACCUUUGCGCACCAUACACGGCCUCCUUACAUUUGGCCUUUAUAACUCGCUGCUCGCUUCGAAAAUAGUCCUGCUAAACGAAAAUAUGUCUCUCAAAAAAAUUGAUUUUAUCGACAAAUGACGUAUUCCUUUUAGAACAGAAUUUAUACAUUCAGUCAAGUUUGAGGUCAUAUGACCAUAUCGUAGGCCACCGUAGUAUGCUUGUGUCCACUAUUCGAAAGGUAUGUUACAGAGGUAGUCUGCGCCUUCUUCGUUAACUGAACGCAAAACUGCAACAUAUCAUGAAAAUGGUCCUUAUUCAUCUCAUACCCUGCCAAUAUAAGUUGAUAGCGAAAAAGCGAAAAUUACAUACCACUUUUCCAUUUAAAAUAAAUUCAAUAUUACAAACGAAAUUAUAUUAAUAGAUAUUAAAUACCCAUGUUGGUCACUUGUCAUUUUUCACUAAUAAAUCAAAAUUACUCGUAGUAGUUGGACGUAACAUACCUUAGGCAAUACCGAUGGUGUGUGCAAUGCCACAGGCUUCCCUGUCGCUCAAUUGCGGCUAGUAUUCCCGUGCCCCGAUCCGAUAUGACGCAGAUACUAGGUUGGGGGCAGACAUGCCUUUUGAACCUAGAAAGAAAGAACUCUCAGUCAUCAGCUGACUCCCCCGGUGUUAUUGCAAACGCAAUUGGAAGGAUUCUCCCACUGCCAUCAUGUGUCACAGCUAGCAAUAGUCGAUGGGUAUAUCUACCGUACAUAAAGGUACCGUCAAUUUGUACUAAUGGCUUACAAUAUAGAAAUGCGUCUCGGUAUUGCUUAAAGCUCCAGAACAGAUGCUUAAAUACUUGGCAUCUACGGAGCAAUCGGUCGUUGUAGUAUGCAGGUUUCGUUUCAAGGUCUGUUACGCAGCCUGAAACAUAUCUCUCCAGCACCUAACACCACUGUCACACUUAAUUAUAUGAAACAUGUCACCUACCAUGAAUCUUUUCCAAUGCCUUCUGCUUAGCUAUCCAAGCUUUGCGGUAAUAGGGCGUGUACCUUAACUGGCUACAAAUAUUAGCAAUUAAGAUCGGUACUGAAGCUCUGGGAUCUGCCUUCAUCUUCGGUAGUAUUAAGGUAGCUAACAUAUCUGAAUCUAUCUUGGGAUGAUCUUCCGAAACACCUGUCAAUGAAGUACGUUAAAAAAUGCAACAGUACGUAAUAAUAGUACUAUUAAAAAACUCUAAACAGUUAGUGAUACUGUACCGGCAACACAUGUAUAUAGACCUUUGUACUUUUUUAUCUCCACAAGCCUGUCUUUUUCCUCAACGAGGCCAUGAUUUUCCAUGAACAUGUAUCGUCUUGCACUGUACACUUGGCCUCAAACAUAUCGGAUUUGGAUUUAACCAUGUUGUAUUUAACCCCGUUCAUGGUGCUAUGUUGUUUUACUGCACCAAGAAAACUAUCUUUAUUGGAAAACUCCUUACCAACUUCCGAUUCACCCAAAUCUAAUGAGGAACUUAUACGGUCACGCCUUCUGUAUGGUACAUCUGGAAACUCCAACGCAUCAUCUUGAGAUAGAUCAACAUUAUGCAUAUGGACUGAAGGUGAAUACGCCCUAAAUCACAGAUCUUCUUCUUCUUCAUUUGAACCCCCUUCAACAUCUUCAGGUAUGGUUGGAACAAGCUCUAGUUCAGAAAAUAAUGCAACUUCUACACCAUCAAGACUGGCCUUUCGAGGUGGAUCCGCAUCAGACUCAUCAUCUAACCCAUCAUCAUGUGCAACAUAGAAGGUCCCCUCACCGGUGGACAUCGUAGGGAGUACAUCAUCCCUCCUUAUGGACGUUUCACAAUGUCUCCAAUCAGAUGUGGAUUGCCAACCACUAGAAGUUAAUGUCAUUCCCUAGUAUGUAUUUCCAGUAUCAAACAUCGACCCACUGAGGUGCAUGUCCCAUCCACUAACGGAGUGUCAUGCAGGGGUUGGGUAUUCCAUACUGCUACUAAACACGAGCGCUUCUAUGUUUUGCCACCUACUAACUGAAUGUCGGGUAGAGGUCGUGUAUUCCUCUCGACCAGCAGUAAAUAUUGAAGCUGCAAAUGUAUUAUUUCGCGAUAAAAAUUGUACAUAUAACUUAAGAUAGGGUGAUUCACUAGUGAGAUGAGUCUGCACCAUUGUCUCCAAGCUACGAGCACCUUUGAUGUCGAAUGAGUCAUAUGUCACAGGAUCAAUUGAAGCACAAAAUCGAUACUUAAUAGACAAAACUUUCAUUGGCGUCGUUCUGAAGAUUUUACGCCUAAUUCUUUUACAAAGUUCUGUCAAAUCUAUGUUUUGGUUAAAAACCAGCCUCGCUGUAUUCUCCGAUAAAAAAAACACUAUUCUUGGUGUUACAAACCUCACCAUCAUAGUAAAUAACAACACUAAUACGUUUACUCAUCUUCAAUUUCUUUUCUUCUUAGCCUCUUUAAAAUUUUUUUUUACUAUAAGUUAUGCAACCUGAGAAUAAAAUUUGGCUCAUUUAUAGCCUCAUUUUUCUACGAACUACUGUAGCAAAAGAGCGUCCACGUGGGAGCUUUUUUCAGAAAUUUUACUAAUAGUGCAUCCUGCUUGAAGCAUUUUCGACACUAUUUGUUCAGAAACGUCUACUCAAAAUUAUUUUUCUACGAACUACUGUAGCAAAAGAACACCCACGUGGGAGCUUCUUUCAGAAAUUUUGCUGACAGUGCAUCCUAUUUGAAGCAUUUUUGACACUAUUUGUCCAGAAACAUCUACUCAAAAUUAUUCUUGUAGAAACCCUAAACCUUGAACCCUAAGACAAAAAAAACUAUAUUGCUUAUAUGUUUUUUCUAAUACCCUAAACACAAAUUUAUUAAAAAAUUAAACCUUAAUUUAAUCAAUUAAACCUAAUAACCUAAACUCUAAUUUAGUAUUUAGUAUUUAAAAUUAAUAGUUAAUUUAAUAAAUUAACCUUAAAACUCUAAACCCUAAUUCAAUUAUUUUUUUCUCAAAACCCUAAACUUAGCAUAGCACCAGUAUGUAUAUAUGCUGCAAUCAUGUUAUCUUUGAGAAUUUCUUUUUCGUGUAUGUAUAUUGGAAAUUAAUAAUUAAAAGAAUAAAAAAUGAGCUUGUUACAAGGUAAAAGAAACUUAGCCGGUGGAUCAAAAAUAAAAUGAUCUAAGAUAUUGAUAAGGGAAAAAAAACUAAACGUUGAAGUAAUCGAAUUACCAAGUUAUUGUUUACACGUUAAGAGUUAUUUAAGGGUUUUUUACUAAAAUAUUAUAAGAAAUAAAAUAUUAAAAUAGUAUGUUUAAACCAUUAUGUAUCAAUUUACCCUAAAUUAAUCAAUUAACCCUAAAUUUAAUCAAUCCCUAAUUUAAUCAAUUAACUCUAAUACCCUAAACUCUAAUUUAGUAUUUAGUAUUUAAAAUUAAUAGUUAAUUUAAACCCCAAUUCAAUUAAUUAUUUCCUAAAACCUUAAAUUCUAAACCCUAAAAACCCUAACCUUAAAACCCUAACCUUAAAUCCUAAAAAACUUUAACCCUAAAUCAGUUAAACCCUAAAAACCCUAACCUUAAAAAAAGGGCAAAACGCUUCCCUAGGGGAGCAUUUUGUCCACGUCAGCAAAGCGCGCCCUCAAGGAAGCGUUUUCUGCUAACGUGGACAAAACGCUCUCCUAGGGAAGCGUUUUGUUGACACGUACUUUGAAAAUGCGCUGACGUGGAUGUGUUUUUGUGGAAAACGGCCUAAUCCGAUAAAUAACCCAAUAAACGGCCCAUUUUCGUAAUUAAAUUUAUAAAAGGGCCCUUUUAGGUAAAACGGCCUUUUGCUCAAUUACAAUGUUUUUUUUUAUCAUUAGUGUUAAUUUAACCAUUUAUAAAUGAGACGAAAUUAAGGAACUAGCUUAAUUGAAUUGAAUGAGAGAAAUCUUAAAAUUACACAUGAACUAUGGUUUAAUGUGCAAUUAUAUACAUGAAUUUUGAUUUUGUGUAAUUUUAUACUUGAAAUUUUUAUUUGAUCCAAUUAUUGUAAAUUAUUAACACAAUUAUUGAUAUAACAUCAUUUUGUGUUUAUAUAUUGUAUACAUAAAUAAUUAUAUUUAUCCAAUAUAAAAAUAAAUUAAUUUAUUUAUUUCUUUAAAUGUGCGUGAUUAAAUUAAAAUUAAAGUUUCAAGUAUACAUUUGAACCACAAUUAGAGUUUCAUGUGUAUAAUUGCAUUAAAUUAAGGCUCCAUUUGGAAGUCAGGAAAACAUUUUUCAGAAAAUGUUUUCCUAGUUUUACGGUGUUUGGAAGCCUGAAAAUAUUUUACAUUUGGAAAAUGUUUUCCUAGACACGAGUAAAAUGACCUGCAAUUUGGGGAAAAUGUCUUACUGAUUUCAUUUCUAUAAGACAUUUUUCAUCCCCUUCUUCAUCCAGGUAAGUCUUCUUCUUCUUCCGUUCUUCAACUUUUUCCAUCUCCUUCUUCAUCCAGGUAAGUCUUCUUCUUAUUCCAUUCUUCAACUUCUUAUAAUAUUUCUUCCCUUUUUCCUUACCGUCACAUAUCUUCUCUUUUCAGGCAAAUUUUAUACACUGCAGUUUUAUUUCCUAUCUUUCUCACUUUCUCAGGAUCUCAUUCCUCUUCGCAAGGUAUGGCAUCUUCUUUAAUUAUGCAUUUUAAUUUUGUUUUGGUGAUGGGUUUUGUGAUGUGGGGUUGUGGUUUUGGUGCAGGAAUUGGACACAUUAAAAUCGACUGAUAUCAUUGGUGUCAAGAAUAAGAAGUAAGGCUUCCCUGGCCUCAGAGGAAUGCAUCAAUGCAUGCCAUUCAUGAAUCUUUUUUCUUUUUAACAUAAGCUUAGCAUUAGAAAGGGGAGGUAAACAGGAACAGUCUUUGGUGUCUUGUGCAAUAUUAUACAUACUUGUGGGUGAUGGCUGAUACUUGAAGAUUGAUUCCACCAAGCUCACCUUUAGCUAUCUUCCUUGACAAACUUUACUCUUCCAUAUAAGUUUGUCAAAUUUAUUUCAGAAUCAAGAUGUCACUUUCUAUUCUUGCUUCUUUUUUAUGUAGAUAGGAUGGUUUAAUUUGUUUUACGAUAGAUUUUGUGCUUCGCCUUAGCUUUGAUGUCAAUAUCAUAGGAGGAGCCCUUAUAUCUAGCACGCAGUUUGAGUUAACAAUAGCUGUAACAUCUUAAAAUAGGGAAAAAGAGCUGGUAAUUAUUGAAUAUAAUGUCCAAUAAACCAAAAAAGCGUAUACAAUGAUGUGAUUGUUAAAUACUAAUUUUGUGAAACAUCUUAGUAUCUGAUAUGUAAUAAACUAUAAAAUUCUUGAAGUAUCAUAUUACAUGUAAACAACAUCUUGGUGGUUUUAAUAUCAAAAUUUUCACAAAUGCCUCUACAAUAAAAAAGUAAAACCAAACUCCUUGUUCGGUAAAUGGGUAAUAAAAUCUGUAUAGUUUACUUGCAAAUUUCAUUAAUUUUGCCUUAGUGUUUGUGAUUCAGAGUAGGCUCAAGCAUAGAUGCUUCAUGUAGUUUAGUCAUGAAUUUUGCAAAUGAAAGUGAGGUGCGUGAAAGUAGCAAUGCUUCCAAGUAGGUUUGAUUGUUCCCUAUAGUUUAUGAACUUAGUUUAUUCCACUGCCCCCUCCUACCUUAUGAAAUCUACUAGGAUAGAGAAUCUUUAGAUUUGGUUUUAAGUUUGGAAUCAAGUUUGAAUACCUUCUUUAGUUGCUUCAUAGUUAAAAAAAGUUAGAGGGAUGACCAAUUAUGGUAAGUGAUAUUUGAUGCAACAAGUCAAAUUUGGAUAGGAUAAAGAUCAAGGAAUUCUAUCAGCACUAGGGAAUGAGUACACUGGUCUCAAGGUAUUAGAAAAAGACCUAAAAAUAGUAGGGUUUUGGUGGAAUGGAACCUGCAUAAGCAGCUUAUUUUGCCUAGAGUUUGACCAUACUUUUUAAACCUUAGUAAUACUUCAUAACCUAGUUGUACUGCAUUGUGCUAACUACGUUUAGAGAACCAUUUGAAGGGGGAAAGAAAUGUGAAUGCCUAUUGUUGUUGCCUUAACUAUAUUGUUCUCAAUUAAUUUUUGUUGGUUCCUAUGCAUGCCAUUCAUGAAUCCUUUUUCGCAGUUUCAUAUAUUAUUCAUGUGUUAGUUCCACAAUUACUAAUGAAAGUUGAAAUUCAUUUGAUGUUUGAUUGUAAGGGAAAUCAGUUGAAAUUUUACAUGCUGCUGUUUCGUUUCCUAUCUUUCUCUCUUUCUCAGGAUCUCAUUCCUCUUCGCAAGGUAUGGCAUCUUCUUUAAUUAAAGCUGUUUUUUUUCUUCUUGUUCUUUACUUGCUCACAUUUUAACUGAUUUCAUGCCUAAAAUUUUAUGCCUGCCUGAAAUUUUAACUGCCACUUUUUCACAAUCAAAGCUCCUCAGAUUCCUCAAUAAUGAUAUCCCCAAACAGCAAACCAUUACUAUUGAGAAGGCAGAAUUAAUAAAUAAAAUUGAAACCCUUCCAUAACAAGUAUAAUAUGUAUAUCUAUUUGUAUUGCAUGUUUUGUUUCAAGCAUUCCUUCAUGCAUACAACCUUGAGUAUUUAUUUUAUUUUAUAAUAAACAAUCUCUGGAGAACCUUUAGCAGACUUGUAUCUAGAAAUUGUUUUAUUCAUGCUGCUAAAAUGAACAAAUGAUUAAGACAAUACUCUUUCACAAAGAGAAAUUAGGCACAUAUUCUUUCUAUUAGAACAUUUAGCUCACUUCAAUAUUAUAGCAUGCAGAAACAAGGAGCAAUCUCAAUAUGCUAGAAUAGACAAUGAAGGCACCUCUCCCUGCAAUUUUAAGCUUAUGGGUUUUUGUACUUAUUCUGUCUCUCUAUCAGAUACACGUUCCUAUAAUUCUGCUGAAAUCAAUAUAAAUCGACAAAAAAAUAGCCUUUUCUUCCCUUGAUAAUAAAAGUAAUUGUUCUCCUCCAUUAAAAAGAAGUUAAUGUAGCAAUUUUUGAAAAAGAGCCGGGGAAGAUCAGUAGGGGUGAAGUUCAUAAUAAAAUAAUUAAAAAAUUGGAUCAAAUAAUUAUCCAUCCCUAGCAAAUGACUACUAUCAUUAUCAUACAUGACAAUGAAAUAAGUAUGGAAGUAUUUAAUAAUAUAGUUUAUGAUAUGAUUUGGUUAGCAAGAAAACUCCGUUGGGUGAUUUGCAAAUGCAUACCAUGUGUUAGACAAGUUUUAAUUUUCCUCUUAUUAUUUAGUAUUUAAUUCAAUAAUUUCGGAAUAAUUGUCUUUUUUUAAUUAAAAAAAAAAAAGAGAUUAGACUACUAUCAUUGUCAUACAUGAAAAUGAAACAUUUACAAUUUGUUGUUCGUUUACUUUAUGGUCCAGUUAGGUUAUAGAUUUGAUGGUAAGAGAGAAAAGCUAUGAACUGAAAUAAAAUAAAAACAAGUUUUCAUUAUUUGAAAGAUUAAUCAAAUAUUUGAUUUUUUUUAUGAAUUGAUCUGAUUUUUAUUUAUAUAUCCAAAUCUAAUCUCUCUUGAAUUUUAUUUAAUACAUUAAUCCUAAUUUUUAUUACAUUCAUGAAAUUAGUUUUGUUUUAAUCCAUCUCAAAUUUUAAGCAAUAUUUUCUAUUAUAUUAAUUUUAUAAAACUAAAAGAAACAUAUAUUCUGAAUUAUUAUAAAAUUAAAAUAUCAUAAUUAAAAUUAUAAAGAAAUUAUUAUAGAAUCCAAAGAGAAAUAUUUUAGUAAAAAGAAAGGAUUGUAUCACGUCAUUCUGUAUUCAUUUCCAAUUAUUUAAUGAUAUUUCAGUAAAAAUUUUCAUGUCAUUGAUAUGUACUUUUUUUUUUUGAACCCAAACCAUGAAUCCUGAACCAAAAUGUCAAGCUUAGGAUUCAAGAUUUAAGGUUUAGGGUUCAGUUCAAGGUUCUUAGUUUAAUGUUUCAAAAUCGAAGUUUGAGAUUCAAGUUAACAAAUUAUUAAAUUUAUAUAACUAACAAGAAAAAAAUAUUAAAAUAUCAUUAAAUAUUUAAAAAGGGAUACGAGAUGAGGUGGUAUCCCUAAUCAUUUCUCUUUAAUAAAUCUGAUUUAAUUUUAAUUAUUUUUAAUAAAAAUAUACUUACUCUACCUCGAUUUUUUUUUAAAUAAUAGCCCUUAUAAAAUCCAAAAGAUCAAAGAUGUUUUUUUUCCUGAAAAUAAAUGCCGGUAAUAUUUAUAAAUAAAUGAAAUCUACACAUUCUAGUGUAUUAUAGAAAAUAGUAGCUACUAUAAUAAAAAUAGUAACAUCACUACACAUUGUCUUAUUUAUUUAACAGUAGUGUUUUAAUUUUUUUAACACAUGGUAUUUGUAUGUAUGCACUUUAGUCAUGGUAACUUUAGUCAUAUAUGUGAUCUUAUUAAAAGUUUGCAUCUUUUUUGUAGUGAUCAAAUAUUUGUGUGGCAUUAUUUUGUGUAGAUGGAUCGUAAUCAAGAUCAAAAUGCAAUUGUCAGAGUCAUGACCUCAGUUUUAGCUUCUAGGGCUCUUUGGAUUAAAAAAUUAAAAACAAGGAAGGAAAUUGCUUCUCACCCUCAUGUGAAUCGAGAUUAUGAAAGAGAAAAUUAUAUUAAUAGUAUUUUAUAUAGUGGUGACCAGCAUUGUAUUGAUGUGAUAAGGAUGAAAUCGAUAGCCUUUUUAAAUUUGUGUGAUAUUCUUAGUAGGAAUAAUUUCUUACAAUCAACUAGAUCGGUGAUUAUUAGGGAGCAAGUAGUUAUAUUUUUACAUAUAAUUGGUCAUAAUGUAAGGUUUUGAGUGAUUGGACCUAGAUAUUAUAGAUAAAUUGAGACAAUUUACCGUUACUUUAGGGUUGUAUUGAGAGCUAUUUUGAAAUUGUAUAAGCUAGUUAUUAGAUUACCUAAUGAGUCAACUCCUAGUGAAAUCAGAAACAAUCCAAGGUUUUAUCCUUAUUUUAAAGAUUGUAUUGGAGCAUUAGAUGGAACUCAUGUUCGUGCAUCCGUUCCACUUAGCAUUCAAGGAAGAUUUCGUAGCCGUAAGGGGGGGACGACACAAAAUGUAUUGGCGCCCAUUACAUUUGAUUUGAAAUUUUCCUAUGUUCUAGCUGGUUGGGAAGGUAGUGCACAUGAUUCUCGUAUUUUAAGUGAUGCACUUUCACGCCCAAGAGGAUUAAGAAUUCCGGAAGGUAAGAAUUAUAAAACAUUAAAUAUCAAAUAGUUCUAGUAAGCUCAUAAUUUAUUAGUAAUAAUUAUGUUUUGUUAAAUUGUAGGUAAAUAUUAUCUUGCUAAUGCUGGAUAUGGCAUCCGAAAUGGAUAUAUUACCCUAUAUCAUGGUGUUCAAUAUCAUUUAAAAGAGUUUAAUGCUCAGGGGCCUAAAAAUGCAGAGGAACUCUUUAAUCUUCGUCAUUCAUCAUUGCGAAUUACAAUUGAACGUGGUUUUGGGAUUUUGAAGAAACAGUUUCGUGUAUUAGAUGCUGAACCAUUUUGGAAUUUUCAAACUCAAGUAGAUAUAGCUUUGGCUUGUUGUAUCAUUCAUAAUCAUAUAGUGAGAGUUGAUCUUAGUGAUUUACUUAAUCAAGGAUUAUACGAGAAGCUUGAGUCUGAUUUGAUAAUACCAACUCUUACGGAGCGAGAAGAAAGAGAAGAAACAAGAGAAUGGUCUGCUAAAAGAGACGAAAUUGCACAAACUAUGUGGACUGAUUAUAUGGCUAGAAAUAUUAGGUAGGUUUAGGGCUUAGGGUUGUUGUUUUUUAUGUUAUGUAUGUUUUAGUAUUAAAAUAGUUUUUUUUUGUUAAUGUUGGUUGGAUAAUGAUAUUGAAAUUUAGUUUGUUGGACUUUGAAAUUAUUAUGUCUUGAAUUUGUUCGAUAUUGAUUAUGUUUUAAGCUUGUUAGAUAUUGAAUUUAUUAUGUUUCAAGCCUGUUGGAUAUUGAAAUGAUUAACAAUGACAAUUAUUAAUGUAGAAUGGGUAAUGGAAACAAAGAAUGGACCUCCAAGCAAUUCAGGUGGACAAAACUGAUGGAACAUCUUUUUCUUGAAAUUCUAACAGAGGAAGCCCAAAAAGGAAAUAAGCCUUCUAAUACUUUCAAAGCAGUUUAUAUUAAUCGAGUUGUCGAAGCUAUUUCAGAAAGAUUUCAAGUCCAAUGCGAUGCGAAGCAUGUGGAAAAUCAUUUGAUGACUGUAAAAAAAUAGUGGCAGAUUAUAUGCACAAUUCAGGGUGAAAGUGGUUUUGGAUGGGAUGAUAACAUGAAAAUGAUCACAUGUGAUAGAGCGACAUAUGAUGCAGCAAUGAUGGUAAUAUAUGUAUGUAUAUGUUAAGUAUAUUUCAAUUAUUUUUUACUUGUUAUUCUAAUUGUGUAUAAUAUCUAACAAGCAUACAAGAAGUAUGAACCAUUUCUGAAUAAAAGCAUUGAUCAUUAUGAUGAAAUGGCUUUGGUUGUUGGCAAAGAUAUGGCAACAGGGAGUUUUGCCAGAACAUUUGCUGACAUAGAUUUAGAUGAUGGUAACCAUGAUUCAGUGCCUAUAGACUGCAACAAUGAAGAGACUAAAGAGGUAAAAACAAAAGUAUCUUCAUCUGGCACAUCCAAAUGUAAAAGAAAAAAUGCUCAAGAAAGUGUCGUUGAUGAACAAAUUAAAUUUGUGGGUGAACAACUUAGCAAAAUUGCUAAUGCUUUGGAACAAUUUACUGUGGAUAAGACACCACAUCUUUACGAAGAAGUGAUGUCGAUGGAGGUAGAAGGAUUUGAUGAUGACUUCCUGUGUUCUGUAUUUGAUUAUCUAGUGAGUCAUGAAUCUGGGGCUAAAGCUUUUUUAGUUAAUAGUAAGAAGCAUAGAAAAAUUUGGCUUCAAAAAUUUUCUCAAGGUUGAAGAUAUUGAUACUUUUAAUGUGGUGUAAUAUUUAGUUAUGCACUUGAACAAUGUUGUUGUUAUCAUGUGGUGUACAACUAAUUAUGCAUUUGGAUAAGAUUAUUAAUUUCUAGUAUUAAUUGUAGUUUGGAAGCUAAUUUAUAAUUAUUUAAUCCUUGUUUUUUGUUUUUUAUAACACACAAUUAGAAAUCAUUUAUUUGACUUUGGUUGUUUUCAAUUUAUGAUGGUUAAUAUUCUAGUUUAAAAAUAAUUGAGUAUUAUUAUAUAUUUAAUUUGAUUUAUUUAUUUAUAAAUAAAUUAUUGCUAUAUAUAUAAAAACAAUUUAAAAUAUAAAUUUAUUAAUAAAAAAUUUAAAAUAUAAAUUUAUUAACAAUUGAGUAUUAUUAUAUAUUUAUUUAAAACAGCUUUUCUGGAAAAUAUUUUCAGAAAAUCUGCCACCAAACAUCAGAAAAUAUUUUACACAGAUUCAUCCAAACACUAGAAAAGUAAAUCAUUUCCAGAAAUCAUUUUUCGGAAAAUAUUUUACUAUGUAUACAAUUACACAUUAAAUCAAAGUUCAUGUAUAAUUUAUUAAAAAAAUUUAUAAAAAUCAAAGCUCAUGUAUAAGUUUAUGUAUAUAAUUGCACAUUAAGUCAAAGUUCAAUUAAAGUUAACAACCCCAAAAAAAAAAUUUCCAGUUAAAGCCAUCACGUGUCAUAACACAAUAUGACAUGUGACGAAAAAUGAUAAAAAAAUAAAAAUUAAUAAAAAUUAUAGAAAAAUUAUAUAUUUUUUAUAAAGUUAUAAGAAAAGUUAUAUAAAAAUAAGUAAAAAUCAAUAUUUUUUAUAUUUCUUCUAUAUUUAUACAUAUUUUAUAUAUCUUUUUACGAUUUUUAUAAAAUUUUACAGUUUUUUUAUAAAAGUUUUACAAUUUUUUUCUAAUUUUUAAUUUUUUAUUUAAAUUUAACAAUUUUUAUUAAUUUUUAUUUUUUGUCACAUGUCACGCUGUGGUUGUGACACAUGGUGACUUUAACUAGAAAAAGUUAGGAUGAUUAACUUUAAUGGUCAACUGCUAAAGUUAACAAUCAAAAAAAUUUUUUGAUACAUUUUAACAGUUCAAGAAUUUAAUUGAGUGUAAAAAAAAAAGUAAAAAAUUAAAUUUUUUUUUAAAAAAAAAAAGUGAGGGGAAUGGAUGAUAGGUAAAUGAAAUAUAUAUAAUUUGGAUUAGGAUAUAAAUGGGGAUGUGAAGAUGUGAGAUAAAAUAGAUGUAGAAUGGGUGAAAUUUUAAUUGUUUCAAUUCCUUCAAACGAGUAAUUAAAUUUACAUCUCAUCAAAACAAAUUCAUAAUAAAAAUCAAGCCCAUGUAAGAGUAUGUCAUUCUUUCUUUUUACCGGCAGUUGCUAAUUUUUCCCUUUCCAUUUGUUGAAACAGGCUUCCAUCAUAAACACCUCUAAUUGUUUCCUUCUUCAAUAAUCCUCCCUUGUCUUUGCACAAAUUGUAUAGAGUUAUCCACUCCGUCCAGCUAGCAACCCUGCAAAGUUUAUAAUUACGAAAACAAUGAAAUUACAAAUAUAUAUUAAAUUUUAUUUGUGACAUGGGAAAUAUAACAAGUGAUUGAUUACCAUCCCCUGUAAUCCUUGGGUUCCCUGUUAGCCUUAAGCAUUGCCUUCAGCUCAUGGGAUGUUAAGGCAUCCGAAUGAGUGCGAGCGAAUUUGGCGAAGAUUUCUUCGAACUUCCACGACACAAACCUAUCAUACAAGUUCAAUUUUAGAUAUGCAUGAAAUGAUCAUUUAUUUAUUUAUUUCCAUUUACGUACCUUCCUUUACUAUCAUAUACACCAGAGUCACUCCCAUGCUUCGCCAUAUGGAUAUUUUUAACCUCAACGCCAAGCAUAAGAGUUUCAAGAGAAAAUGCUUUUCCCUAAUUCAGAAAAUAAAAAUCAUGUAUACACAAACUAAUUAUGACGAAAAUAGGGAUCAAAUCAAAAAUUUUGUUUGGAGAAACAGAAUUAAGAACAUCUUUAAAUUAAAAUCUAGGUCAAAAUACAAGUUUAUUUUUAUUAAUUUAUAAUUUUACAUAUUUUAAAAGGUAAAGUUAAUUUUAGGAGAAGCGAAGCUCUAGACAAGGGGAUUUAAUGUCAACUAAUAACUUUAUAUAUACAAUUAAAGAGCUCCAGUGUUCCUUAAGACCAUUUAAUCAAUAAUAAAGAAAAGAGAUUAAUAGAAAAAAAACUUGGACCCACACAGUAAUCAUGAAUCUCAACUAAUUCCAAGUUUUACAAGCACAUUGAGUAUGAAAGUGUACAGAGCUAAAUACACUCAUGUUUCCUUUUACUUUUUUACUAUAUUUGAAAUAGUGAAAAGCUUCACUAACUGAAAUCCCGAAUUUUAGGAGUAAAAAAAUAUCACAACAUAUUUCUUGCAAAGGGAAGGACCAACAAACUUGCGACAGAAAAACAAAUGUAACCAACAAGGAAGGAAAUAAAUAAAUAAAUAAAAAGAAGAAGAAGUGAGAGGCGAGAGUUUACAGGGCGAGUUUUACGACUGAGACCAAGGUUGAUUAAGAAGGCACUGAUGAAUGACAAUAAAUAACCAGCCCCUAUUGCUCGAAAACCUGUUUAAAACCCAAGCGACGAAAUAUGAAAAUUCCAAUAUUUAAUCUCUCUUUUAAUAAAGAAAAUAAAUAAUUACCUUGAAAAGUCUCCCAUGGAUAAAUAAUGCCAUCAUUGUUUCUGUCAAAGAAUGCUACAUGUUUUUGCAGAGCGUUUUCAUCAGAAACCAAACCUCUCCCUGCAUCUUCAUCAUCCACUCCUGCAUAUCCCCCAUUCAUUCUCUUAAAAAAAAAAACUCAUUAACGACAUGAAUUCGUUCGUGGAAAUUCAUUUCUUUUUUUUUUUUAAUAUUAUUAAACAUACCUUCUUGAAAAUCAUUGGAUGUCAAAGAAGAAGCCAUAUCUGAAUAAGUCUUGGAUUUCGUGAAAAACAAAGAGAUGGGAGCAACAGGGUUUUGAUUAAAAAAAACAACUGUCGAAUAGUUUGAUUCUUUUGCUUUGCCUUCUUUUUUUUUUUUUUUUAACUAUUGCUUUGCUUUAUUCUUUGAAAUGAAGAUUGCAAUGAAGUACGUGGCUCUUGCUUAACAGCCAUUAUUAUAGGGUGAGACUUGAGAGUAGCGCCUUUGGCUACAAAUAUCUCAUUCCACUCUUUUAGGUUUAAAUUAUGGGAAUUUAUUAUUAGGGUUCAAAUACUACCCUGGGUUGUUAGGUAAUAUUUAAAAAAUUAAAAAUAAAUUAAAACAUAUAAUUUUGGGUAAUAUUAAAAAAAAUUAAAGCAAACAUAUUUCAUUUAUUUAAUAUGUUUGUAGACCUGAAAAAUAAUAAUUUAUAAAUUAUGAGAGGGAUCUAUUUACACCCGUAUAAAAUUAUUUUAGUUUUAUUUUUUCAUAUAUUUUUGUGUUAUUAAUAUUUUAACAAUUUAAUAAUUAAAUUUAUUGAUCUAAUUGUACUUAUCAAAUAUAUAAAUUUUUGAAUCAAUCCAACAUCUCUAUUAUUUUGAUCUAAAAUACUAUAUGUAUUAACAUUUAUUGAACAGUUAAAAGUUUUUACAUAAAACAAGUAGUUAUCAAUUUUUACAUACAUAAUUUAUAUGUAUAAAUUAUCAAAUGUGAUUAUUAGAUUGUUAAAAUAUUAAACAAAUAUAUUAACACUCAGAUGAAAAAUUAUAUUUAUUUAAAUUUGAUAUUUUAAUUAGUAUUUUUAAGAUAAAUAGAUAGGGUUUAUUAAAACUUUUAUAAGAUAAAAAUAAUUUUUUUUUAUAUAUCAUUCAUGUUCGUGUUACGACCAAGACUAAUAUUAAUAUUUACAAGAGUUGUGAUUUUUUUUAAUAAUUUUUUUUCCAAUAUUGUUUUUGGAAUAUUAAAAAUUUUUAAAAAUAUUCUGGAAGAAAAAGUUGUUAGUUGUGGAAAUUUGUGACAAGACUGGGUAGCUUUUCUGGACAUAUGUAAGUUUUGUUUUAAUUUAAAAAUAAUUGAAAUUUAUUGAAUUAUUUUUUUCCUAUUUGUAUUUAGUUAUGUGUUUUUUAUUAUUAUCAAAAUUUAACUUUUUUUUACCUUUUUUUAACUGAAAUUAGUAACAUCAUUUAACAUAAUUAGUAUAGAUUUCAAAAGAUUUUCAAGUGUUUAUAUUUUUUAUUAUUUUGGAGGAUUUAUAUAUUUUUUUAUAAAAAGAAAAUAACACUUAAUUACAUAGGAUUAUUUUGAGCAAAAAUAUCACUUGUUUUAUCAGAACAAAUCAUCAUUAAAAUCUCUCUUGAUAAGUCAACAAAAACUUGCAGGUAUUUCUUCCAAUCAAAAAUCAUUCUAGCCCGGUGAUUAGCAAUUUGAUUUUUCUCCUUAGGAACAUGCCUUAUAAAUUACUGACUUUCAUGUUUUAAGAACGGUUUAGUUAGCCUGAACAAAGUAAAACUUGAAGUCUUCAAUGAUCUGUUUUGGAUAAUCUUAACUACUUUCAAACUGUCAGAUUGAAUUGACAUCUUUUCUGUGUCCUCGUUCAUGAAGAAGAGAAAAGCCAUCUAAAAUGUCUCAUACAUUUACAUCAAAAAUAAGAAAAUUGCUCAAAAAUCGAUUAUAGUCUAGUAUUCAGUCUCCAUUGUUGUCCCGCACUACCGGAGAAUUUAUAUUUUCAAAAAAAAAUUUAACUCCAUAAAAAUAAACAUGAUUUGAAAGCAAAGAAAUAAAAGAUAAUUAAUUUUUAAAAAACUAAAGUGAUUUGAAAAUUAUAAAAGAAAAAAACAUAUUUGUUUAUUAAUUAAAUUUUUUAAUUUAAUUAAAAUUAAAGAAGAUAUAUUAAAUAUGAAUGAAUGUAUAAUAAAAUUUUUAAUUUUUAAAAAGUGAUGAUAUGACAUAUUAAUAUUGAUGCCUAAAAAUUAUAUAUUUUAAUAUCAUCUUAAUAUAAUUUAUUCUUAAUGCGUAAAUACUUAUAUAUAUAUAUAUAAAUUUUAGUGUAAGAUAAUACCAUAUUAUUAAAAUUUUGAAUAAAAAAGAAUACAUACUAUCAGCCUCAGAUAUAAAUCAAAGUUAGAAAGGAAAGCGAUGGAACGUGAGAAACAGCGAGAUGUUUAUGGGGACAAAUAGGGAAAGUGACAAAAUGUGAAACACGAAAAAGAGAGUAAUAGUUCCGCUACUUGCCUUUGCUUUGACAGCACUAAAAGCAAAGCAUCUUAUCUGGAAAAGCCACACACAACUUUUUAACUAUUGGCUUCACAUGUCCAACUCCAUUCUCACCUUCGCUUUUUCUUAAAACAAAUCAAAUACCAAAUUGUAAUAUUAGCCUUUUAGUAUUGUAUUAUACCUACUUUGAUGCUUGGAAAUGGAAUCUAGAUUAGUUUUAAUGCCUGAGCUUUUUGUGUUUUCCUUUUGGGCAUUUUGUCUCGCAUUGAGAUUUCAAUUCCAUUAUUUUCAGAUUUUGUGGUGCUUUAAAAGGAAAUUGGGUUUUCUCUUCCUUCAAGUCAUCCAUAACUUCGGUUUUAAAACAUAUUCCUAUAAUUAAGGAUAAAUUACACUAAUUGCUUUUAUUACAUUUCAAUUAUUUAACUUUUAAAAGUUAUAUAAUUAUUAUUAAAAUUAUCGAAAUGUUACAUUUUGAUCAUUCAUUUGUUAACUUUUGUUAAGAAAAAUGACAUAAUACAUUAAUUUAAAAGGUUACUAACCAAUUUAACUCUUAAACUAUAAUUAAAAUAUCAAUUUGAUAUCUUUAAAAUUUAGGUUUAUUACUCAAAUAGUUACCUAAAUUUGAAUGGGUUUCUAUUUUGAUGACCAAAUUUUUUACCAAGUUUCAAAUUAUAGAUAUUUGUGCUAUAAAGCAUCACUGUAUAAUUAUUAUCUUCACAUUUUCCAAAAAGGAAUUAAAAAAAAUGAAUUGAACUCAUCCGGAAGACUUUUUGAGUUGUAUCAAAACAAUUAUUAUUGUUUAAUCUUUAGAUAUGAUUCUGUAGUUUUGAUGCAACUAUUAUUACUACGAGGCUUGAUGUGGUAGUUACUUAUUUUAUUUUUUAAUUAUAUAAUUAGGUGUUUAAUUUUUAUUUACGAGAAUGAAACAUAUUUUAUAAUUAUUAUUAUUGACGGUUAGGCGAAAAGAGAAUGAGGGUAAACAGUAGCCUUGGCCCUCCCAAAUAAAAAAUUACAGUUUUAGACUCUCAAAUUUCAUAAAAUCGUAAUUUAAUAUAUGAUAAAAUUAUAAUUUGGCGUCCAAAUUGCUCAAAGUUCAAUUUAGUCUUUUUGAAAAGGCUUAAUGACAAAUUUGACCACUAACAUUUGUAUGUUUUGUCAAAAUGGCAUUAAUUGUAUUUUUGAACAUUUUUUUGGCCAUAAACCUUUUAUUUUUUUCAAUCUAUUUUUCUAACAAAUUUAAUGAAUAAAUUGAAGGUUUCAAUUUUUCUUUUCUUUUAAAAUGUUUCAAUUUUUCAUAUACUUGUUUAUUAAGAAGUUUUUCUACUGAGUUAAUUUUUUUAGAUAAUUACGUUUAUUUUCUUUAAACUAAGAAUUGGUUUUUUAAUUUAAUGUAUUAUUUAUUUAUUUUAUUAUUUUUCACAUGUAAUUAUCUUAUUGGGUUAUUUAAGUAAUAAAUUGUAUCACAUUAAAAAUAUUCCACAUAUGAAAUUCCACAUCAUCCCCAUUAACUUUUAGACGGUACUUUUAUUAAACCGGUUGGAAAAAACAUAUUGAAAAAAAGAACAAAGGUUGAUGCUCAAAAAUACAAUUAAGAUCAUUUUGACAAAAUAUAUAAAUGUUAGUGUCUAAAUUUAUCAUUAAACCUUUUGAAAACUAUAAAGAUAUAAAUUAAUAUAAGAAUUAAAUUACAUUUUAACAUUCAUAAUAAUAUAUAAUUUAAUCUCGACCUAAAAAAAAUAAUUUCUAGCUUUACCGUUUUCCGCAGCGAAUACUUUGAUUUCCAAAAAAAAAAUAGUAAAUUUAUAAGUUCAUGCCCAACAACUGCCGCCUGUGCCACCGAACUCCAUUGUUGUUGGCCGCCUGAUGAAACGUGGACUCGAAUUACAGCCCCUUAUCUUCGACUCUGAUUCUCAAACAAAGGCUCGAUUCUGGGGAACUAGAAAGCCCAAGAGAUGGGUGCUUUCAAUUUCUUCUUUUUUACUCCUAUCUUUCUUUCUCCCAUUGUUUACAACACACAAUCGACAACUCAAACCCAGUAACCAACCCCGAAAUAUUGUGUCAGCUGUCAACUGUUGUAUUGCUAUUUCAUGGACUCGUUUCGUUUAAAGAUGAUUGAUGGUGAUGAAGCCCGAUGAAGAAUGGAGUUUAGCUUUUAGGUGUUGGAUUCUCAAAAAAUAUGAAGAUGUUGAUCAGUAUUUGAGUUUGAUACUUUGAAUUAGGUAUUUUGAUAUUAGGGGAAAUAGUAAAACUAUAAAAGGGUUUAGGAGGGAAAAAAUCUAAAAUAAUAAGAAAACUUGAAAUCACGUGGUUUUGAGUAAAAGUAAAAUAAUCAUAUAAAUUUAAAAUGAUAUACUUUGGUAUUUUGAUUUAUUUAAAUUAUUUAAAUUUAAAAAUUUAAUUCCGCUCGAACUCAAAAAAAAAUUUUGAGUUGAUUUGAUUAACUCGAUUUGAAUCAUUUAAAAUUUAAACUUUUUUUAUUUAUUUUUUCACGUCGAAUUAAAUUUUACUCUCCUUAAUUUUUUCGCUUUCUACAAACGAACUUUGACUUACUUAGAAUGUGGAAUCUAACUUCAUGAAAGUUAGAACCAAUCUUACAGAAUGAAAAUUUUAAAUAAUUUUAAAGAUAGAAAAAUUAAUUCUCUCUUUGAGAAGCCAUUGUAAGCACUCAAGAAAAUAGAAUUUAUUCUUUAAAUUAAUUAUUAUUGUUUUCUAACAUAAUAACAAUACUCAAAAUAUGAAUACUUGAGGUAUUUUUGACUUAAUCCAUAAUUCUUGUUUAUAGAAAAAAAAUUAUAAGAGUUAUAUUUGAAUAAUUAAUAAUUAAAUAAUAUUAAAAAAAAAAAACACAAACACACAACAAUGCCCUUUCAAGGAAUAAGGAGGCUGUAGCGCCCUUGAUUGGGAGCUAGGAUUGCGGCCAAAUAUGUUGCAAUGGGCGUAUUAGGUAAGUGUAUAGUAUUGAUUACAAUUAUAUAUGUUAUUUCAACUUUUAAUUUAAUUUAUAUAAUUUAAUUAAUCCAAUAAUUAUCCUUUUUUAUUUCUAAAAAUAUUAAUUAAUUUAAAUAUAAUUAAUUUAAUUUAAUUAUUUUUUAACUCAACUCUAAUCAUUCUAAUUCCAUUGGAAAUAUAUUUAAUUUAUUCGUUCCUAUCUUUUUAUCAAUUUUUUAAAUUCUAAAUUUAUCAAAUCUAAUCUAUUGAUUUCCUUUGUGCUAAAUCUUAAGUUUUCGUAUAAAAAGUAGAUAGAAAAUACAUGAUAAUAAUAAGGGUACAAUUAUUUCCAUUUACUUCGUUUUAAGUUAGUAGUUAAAAAUCACUUAAUAAUUAAAUAUGAGUGUAAUGUUAAUAAUUAGAUAUUUGUGGAAUAUUUAGGUAAUAAGUAUAAUUAGUGAGUCUUAUUAUAUUGAGAGCACCCUAAUUAUAUUCUCCAAUUUUACGAAAAUGAUGAGAAUUAAAAUAAUUAUAUAGAUAAUUAUAAACAAUUGCAUUUAAAUCUAAUUAUCUUAUGACUUUUCAAAAAAACCUGUUCAUGAUUUAAGCUUAAAUUAUAAAACAAUAAUAUUUUAAUUUAAGGACUAUUUUUGAAAAUGACAUAUGUUUUAUUUAAAAUAUAAUAAUAUGUUAUUUUAUUAAUCUUGUUUAAAUAAUCUUGAAAUUCUAUUGAUUAGAAGUAAUUCUUUAAACAUUUUGACCUACUAAAUAAUUAAUUAAAUCACAUAAUAUUUAUUAUAAAUUAUUAAUACUAAUAACUAAAUAGCCUAAUUAUUAUUUAUUUAUACUUGAUUAAGGACCAAUCGAUGACAAUAAGGAGUAUAUAAUUAAUGUUAGAGUGAAAAUAACUCAAUCAAUAUGAAAUGCUAGAGUAAUAGAUAAAAUUACAUAGGAUAUUUAUUCUUGGCUUAAGAGUAAAAUAAGUCCUUAGUAAAAAAUGAAAAAAAAAAUCAAUUAAGCCAUUGAAAAAACUUGCAUCCUAUUGAGUUCUUAAUGACAAAAAAAAAAUCAAUUAGGUCUGUUAAUGAAAAUUGUUAGUUAACCGAUUUGACUGUUAAAGGCGUUAAUGUGAUAAACGAUAGCCAACAAAAGAUAACAUGUGGAAAGAUGCUGAUGUGGCAUACCACUUCAACAACAUAUGCAAAAAAAGUUAUAAAAAAUUAAUAAUUAAUUAAUAAAUAUUACAUUGGACAACCAUUUGUUCAAGAUCAUUUGAAUAUUGACAAUACUUUAUCUAGAUUCAUUUUAGAUAAAUUCAAAAGUAUAAAAACUUGAGAAAUUAUAAAAAUAUUAGUAAUCAUAUAAAAAAAAUUUAAUAAUUAAAUCUUAAUAAUUUUAAUUUUUAUAUAUAUUCAAAUUUUAAAAAGUUGAAAUCGAAAAUUUCAAAUAGAAAAAUUCAGCUUUUUAAUCAAUAAUAAUCAUCUUUAAUCCGAAGAAACUCCCGGUAGCCAGGCAUGUUCCUCGUGAAAUUAAAAAUGCCCUUCACAGCCUCAGUGAAGAACCGGUAAUACUGAGGAACUGAAACAAUGCGAACACGCGAUUGGAAGGAACGUAGCCGCAUACAUUAAUGUUGCAGUCCAUUUUUUCUGCAGAUGAACCAGCAGGAGAAUCGUGGCCGUGAAUGUCAGCAUCGUCGACGUCACAGAGAAGAAGAGGAAUGUGAAGCCCAGCGAGAGAUCCCGAUGCACGGUGUUGAGAAAAUCUUGGUACUCCACCGAUGAAGUGAGGAUGGAGAGGAAGAUCACCACCUACGUCAAGGAGCUCGCCGGCCCCGCUACGUCCAUCACCGUGAAAAACGAGUACAGAGGUCUUUCCAGGAGGAUGGGACGUCCAUAUGCUGCCAUUCCAUUCCAAUGUCAUCGAUGAUCAAAAACCUUUGUUUCUUUCUAGUGUUUAUUUUUAUCGAGAAGUGACGAGAAUUUUUUUAAAAGUGCUUACUCUCAUGGACGCCUUCUGGGGUGGUGUACGCGGCGGCGAAGACAACGGUAGCCACGAGCACGACAACAGUGGAGCAUGAAUGUGAGGUGUUCUUCACCCAUUCUUGCGCCGAUUUAAGCUGCUCUUGGUGCAUGUCCUUGAACAACUGAUCUGCUGUCAUGUGUUUUUUGUUACGGUGCAUGGUGAAAUGCGCUGGUAUUUUAUUUUUCACGGCCUGCUACAUUUUCGUGCAUGAAUUACUAAAGAAAAUUUAACGCAGUAUAACAACGAUGGCUAAAUUUCAAUCGAAUUUUUCAAAUCCAAAAAUUCAACUUUUCAAAAUUCGAAUGUAUAUAAAAAGUUAAAAUAUUAAAAUUAUUUAUCUCUUUUUUUUUCAAUUUUUUAUAAUUCUUUUAAUAAUUAUUAAUAUUUUUUUAUAAUUUCUAAAUUCUUUAUAUUUUUGAAUUCAUUUAGAAUGAAUCUAGAUGAAAGAUUUUCCUUAUUCAUUCCAAAUGUAAAUUUUAUUAAUUAUUUUAAAAUUUUAAAAUUUUUAAAAAAAAUUAUUAAUCAUUUUAAAAAAUUAAAUUUUUUUGUUGAGUGAAUGUCAAGUCAACAUCCUUCUAUGUAGCAUACCAUAUGUCAUCUCGUAAUGCCUAUUGUCAACCACUUCAAUAUCUUUAACAAUAAAAAACUAACGGUUCGUUAAUGAAAAGGCCUAGUUGGUUAUUUUUUAGUUAUUAUGGACUUCAUAGGGUGUAUAAUUUUUUUAAGGGUUCAAUAAUUUUUUUUUUACUAAUGGAAAAUUUAAUUUUUUGUCAAAUAUUUUAUGGGACUAACAUAUCAUAUAAAACAAAUUGGUUUCAAGUUAUAUAGAGAAAUUCUUUUUUCUAAAGUGUUAUUGAUAAUUUUUAUAAUAAUCAAUAAUUUUUAGAAUUUAAAAUUAUAUAAUUUUAUAAUUACAAUUUAUUCCAUCAAAAUUACGAAAUAAUUACUACAUAAUUACAUAAUUAAAAAUUUUAAAUUUUGUGAAUGUUAUCAAGAGUAAUUACUGUGUAAGUUUCGUAAUUGUUCUCAAUACUCUAAUUAUAUAAAUUCACUAAUUAUAAUGAUUAUUUAAAUAUUAUACUCAAAUUCAGGGAUAAGUGUGUUGUGAAAGUAUAAAGGAUAAACGUAAUUGACAACAACCCUCAAGCGGGUAAGCUUCUUUUAGCUUUUAAAAAUUAAACAUGCACAUCUGAAAACACUCCAACAAAUGAAACAUUAUCUUUUUUGGUGAAUAAUCACUAAGAUUUCAUUGAUGUGUAAAAGCCUUAAUACAAUGGAACAUAAGCCCAAACCAAUACAUAUCAUAGAAAAGGAAAACCAUAACAAUAAAUGUGCCACAUUCGAACUUAACAUUCAAAUGGAGAAAUGUCAAUUGUUAUCAAACCAGCCCAUCCCCCCCCCCCACCAAAAAAAAAAAACUGUCAAUCAAAACACGAAUGUCGCAAACACAAGCCAUAUGGCGUAUUGGAUCCGUCAACGGUAGUCUGGUUCCACCCAGUGAAACCAACGGAGCCUCAUAGAUCGGAAAAACCCGUCAGACCAAGCCUAAACAAACACGAGCCGCAACAGACUCGAGAAAACCAAGCCAUCACCGACUGGAAAAGUAGUAUUAUUUCGAAAAAGGAAUCUCGCACCAUGGUUAAAGAGAAAGCUAAGCCUUGGGAAAUGGCAAGAAAGGGAGGUGGAAGGAAUGGGAAAGACGAGAAAGAUGGGCGGGAGUGGAAGGAAGGGGAAGCUUUAGAAAGAAGACUCCCAGAAGGAUUGAUCUAUUAUCUGAGUAAUAACAGAGCAAGCCUCAACAUCUUUUCAUACGAUUGGCUCGCUAAGAAGUCGAAAGUAGCAGCACUUGCAACCACCAAUUUACAAUUUAUU